AGCAUCGCGAGGAGGCCGGGCGAGGGUGUGAUUCCGCCGUUCUCGACGUCGCGCAGGAUUGGAUUUAGCGGUCGAGGUGGGUUUACAUCGGUUUAUUUCUAAGUACCGUAAUCGUCGACAUGUAUGAUUUUUCAGUUUCGGUUAUCACGUUGUAGCUUGAUAUUCGUGAUGCUAUCCUGGAUAAAAUCAGUAUUGAGAACAUGACUAGUAAAUCUUAAAUGUACAUGUUGGACUGGGAUUUGACUUAGGAGAAAACACGAUUGGAAUCGUCAUAUGCUUAAACUGUCUGAUUUAGCUCUAGGAGCCGUUAUUAAAUUGUACUGUUGCAGUAUCCUCGAGACGAGUACUCCAGGUGGUUUAGUAUACAUUUACGCUCGUGCUGGUAUGCCGAGUGGAUUUUUACAGUGUUGUUCAGGUUGUUCCGGACUGUGGGGUGCCGUCAGAGUGACGGUGGACCCGUAUUGCCUUUUUGGCGUCAGAUUGUGCUGAGGGCACGUUACUUGUUGGUUAUUAGACCAGUUAGAGUCGAUUUAUUGACUUUGGCUUUUCAGAGCCUGUUUGAGCUCGACAGAGAUACGCUGCAUACUCGGUUGGGUAGCGCCCACGAGUGCCACUCCGGAGUCAGGCUUUGUGCUUUCGCGUUGGUGUCGCUCAUGCCAGUUGGACUUGCUCUCCACGGACCAGUUAGUGUGGAUAGAGCCUGAUAGUCGCAACGGGGCAGGGACGGGUGUAUUCACAGUCCCGGGGACGGGUAUGCUUACAGUCCCGAUUGGAUUGGGUCAGAUUUGACAUUUCCUACAGUUGGUUAGUGUAGAGCAUGAUAGUGUAGUGAUUGAUAGCGGUAGAGUUUACUUCCUGCUUUUCCUACUAUUCUUGCUCCCUUCUGUAGACUUAGUGGGUGGACCGAUGUUGUUUUGGGCGGUACCCACUGAGGACCACUUGUUUUUACAAUAGUUCUCACGCCCAGUUGUUACUCCUGUUUUGCAGAGCCACAGGUUUCAGCUGCUGCGCCUUCCGCGGAUCAGGAUCGAGGCAAGGGCGUCGCGAGCUAGAGCCCUACCCGACUGACAGAGCUAGAGGCACCCUACUGCAGGUAGUUGUUUUACUUCGAGCUUAUGUACAUAGUACUUAACUCGCCAGUGCGAGUAACGCUGUAUUUUGGAUUCUGAACUAUGUAUAUGAAGCUCAGUUGGUUUAGCUUUUGUUUAUUGAGCAACUCUAUGCUACUGUUUGUAGCAUUGCAUAUCUACAGAUGCCUUUGACGCUUCGUAUACAGGGAAAAUUCCUUUGUAUACGGCGGAUUUGUCGGCGUGCCCGGAGGAACGAGACAUCCGGGGCGUGACACCUAGUUACAACCAGCGAUAAUUUUGACUUGGUCAAUGUUUGACUUGGUCAACUAGCUUGAGGAAACUAUUUGGCUCGUGAAACAUAACCAAACGUUUUUAGAUGAUUUAUCGUUCUAUUUUCCGUUCCAAUGUAAUUCAAUUUUAUUUUUCAUUCUCAUUCCACUCAUAAAGGAAAUAUGCCCUAAAUUUCAUUUCGACUUAUGCCUAUCUUGAGCAUAAAUCGAAAUACAGCAGUCAGGCCAUCAUCUGCAAGUCAAUCCGAUGGCAAUAUUUAGGUACAACUACAUCGAACUAAACAAAAUUUUUGGGAGCGGUUAUAGUUACACUUGCACUGCAGUUCUGAAAUAUAGAUAAUCAAACAAUCCCUAAUAAUUAUAUAAUGUGAGCAAUACACCAGAAAGCAAACUAUAUGUAGAAGGAGCACCCCAUUUUAUUCAUUCAGUCAUUGCCAAAGCUCUCCACUUACAUAGAGUAUAUUAUUUUUAGGGACUUUUAAUUAUUAUUCAAAUUUCUCAAAUUUAUUAUGAAAUUAUUACAAUACCUUCUAAAACCAAUCCUCUUAGUAAAUGCUAGAGUUUGGUCCUUCAGAGAUAAAUAAAAUAUUUUUAAAAUUCUGAAGGACUUAUUAGAUAGUAUCCCUUAUUUUUUUCAUUGCAAAGUUUUGAACAUUGACAGCCAAGGAGGAAGGCGAGGCGGGAAGAAAAACGGGCGGAUUCUGUAAAACCCCUUCUCUUCGCGGAUUCUUGCAAUGCUACCUUCUUCUCCUGUCAGAUGCAAAUUGGUAACCAUGAGAGGAGGAAAAAAAAUAAUAAAAAAAAAGAAGUGGUAAGAAUAUAAAACUUUUGCUCAUUUAUCUUUGACUAUUAUUCAAAAAUUUUAAAUUUAUUGUGAAUUUAUCAAAAUAUUCCUUCUAAAUCUCUCAUGUUCUAAUAGUAAACCUUACAAUUUUGGAAAUAUUUGAAAAAAUUUUAAAAAUUAAUAAGGGCAUUUUGGUCAACAAGCAAUAUAUUAGAUAUUUUGAAAUUUUGGAGGGUAAAGUAGAUAUUACAAUUCAUUAGAUAAAGAAUUUACUGAACUCCGGAACAUUUUGAAACCGCUAUUCUAAAAAUAUAGAAAAAAUAUAUUUUUUAAAAAUCAUGGUAAAAUGGGUGAAUCCCACAAAAGCUAUUUGAUUGAUUGGAAACACCAUAUCACCCCAUGUUUCUGCUGUAUUUAGACUUUUUCCUAUUUUUGGCCCUUCUACGGAGAACAUAAGUUGAACUAAUUUACCCUUCCAAAGAGUACAAAGUAACCGAUAAUUCCCGCCAUAGCCGGUCAUAACUGGCUUCUCAAAUCAUCCAAACCAUUAAGGGGCUAUUUGAUUGCAUACAGCUAGAAAUACAGCAGUUGUAACUAUACUCAGUUUGUUCUAUAAACCAUUAAGGGGCUAUUUGAUUGCAUACAGCUAGAAAUGCAGCAGUUGUAACUAUACUCAGUUUGUUCUAUUCUGUAUAGAUGCAACUGUUGCAAUUACAUUUUACUUAUUUAAUAACCUGAAGAUGAUAAUUAUAUUUAUAAAUUCUAUCACCUUUCAGAUAGAACGGUAAGAUUACUUUCAAUGCACAUAAAAUAAUCAAUUAAAGAUUUUUUUUUAAUUUUUCAGUAUAUUUAACUUGCAGGUAAAUCAAAAUUUUAGAACAAUUACUACGUACGAUUCUCUCUACUUUUGAAGUUUUUUUUUUUGCAAUUUGAAUAAUUAUAUUUAACGAAAAUUGAAAAUUUAUAGAAAAAACUAUUUUUAUAUUUUAAAUAAAAUUUCAAUUUUUUUUUUUUAUACAUGCAAAACUUGCUUGCAUUGCGUGUGCUCUUUUAUUGGUAUUUAUUUAUAAAUAUACAUUUAUUUAUUUAUAAAUCUAUAUACAGAUGUUUAUUUAUUUAUUUAUUCUUAAUAACUGCUGCAAUUAGAGCUAUAGUCAACUUGUGAAUAUAUAAUAUAGACCGUAUAGUUCCAAAUGCAGCAUUUAGGCGUCCUUGUGUAGUUCAUAGUUUUAAUUGCAUGCAAUCAAACAUCCCCUAAAUAGAGAUUAUCUAGUGGUUGCCGCAAUUAUGAAGUGUUGCAGAAUUACUCUUGUCAAAACUAUAUAAAGAGUUUGUGUAAUAGGGGUGAAAACAAGCAACAUACAGUAAGAUUUUAACAAACAUAUUCACUCCAUAUUUUUUGGCUGCGAAAUUCGAAUGUGGAUAUUUUCAGAUGCUAAUUUAUUACCAAUCCAUUAAAACAAUAAAUACGAUUCAUCAUAUGCAGUCAAUUUGUAUUCAAUAUAAUUCAACAUAAAUAUAUAUAUAAUCUAUAUAUAUAUAUAUAACUAUUAUAUAUUAUAUUAUAUAUAUACAUGAGAGAAGAGAUGAGAGACGGAGAGAUGAGAGAGAGAGAGAGAGAGAGAGUUAGGGCUGGUAUUCUAUCGGGGGUAGCAUUGGACGGUCUGUAGCUCCAAGUUUUCUCAAAAUAUGGCUUCCAAAUCGAUUAUCGGCUCCGUUAGACUUGAUCUAUACUAUUAAAAGUAUUUGGAACUAAAUUUCAUAAUUUUUUGAAAUAAUUUGACCGAUAAUCAAACGUUUCAAAAUUGACAAUUUUAAUGGUAGAUGUGAUGCGUUUGUGAAUUUAACGGUAUAAAACAAUCCAAAUCUAAUGAAAUUUUUAUAGAAAAUUCUUUUCACUAUUUAGAGUAAGAUCAGUACCUCUGAUCUUAAAUUCAAAUAUUUUAUCAUUAUUUUUUAGGAGAUUUUUAUUUUCAACCGUUCAUUUUAGACAACUUGUUUGAUAGGUAAAUUAUGCCAAAAAAUUAUGAAAUUUAGUUUCCAAAUACUUACAAUAGUGUAUAUCAAAAUCUAACGGAGCCGAUCGUCGAUUUGGAAGCCGGAUUAUUGAAAACAACUUGGUAGUACGGCUAACAAACGGGCUCUGUUGCCACCCAUUUGUUUUCGAUGAUAAAGCCUCCAAAUCGACGAUCGGCACUGUUGAACAUGAUCUAUACUACUUGAAGUAUUUAGAAAUCAAAUUUCAAAUCUUUUCGACAUCAUUUGCCUAAUGAUCAAAGGGUUUCAAAAUUUAUAAUUUUAAUGGUCGAUAUAAGAUGUUUUCUCGUUUAACGGCGUAAAGAAAUCCAAAUUAAUUGAAUUUUUGUUAGAAAAUUUUUUAAACUAUUUAAAACAAGAUCUAUACUCUUGAUCUUGAUUACAAGAUUCCUAUUAUCAUUUUUUAAAGAAUAUUCAUUUUUAGCCGUUCAUUUUUGUAUCCACUCGAUGGAUAAGAGAACAAUAUCGAAAAUGUAUGAAAUUUGAUUUCUAAAUACUUCAAGUGGUAUAGAUCAUGUUCAACGGUGCCGAUCAUCGAUUUGGAGGCACCAUCAUUGAAAACAAAUGGGUGGCAACGGAGCCCGUUUGCUAUCGAUAGUAUUCUAGCUCAACUCUCUCUCUCUCUCUCUCUCUCUCUCUAUAUAUAUAUAUAUAUAUAUAUGAACUAAAAUUAAGCGAAUAAAAUACAUAAUGCAUUUAAAGGUUUACGUUUGUGUUCAAACUUCAUAUAUAAAAAGUACCAUGGAAAAUCACUUUAUCUCCCUACAAUAUAUAUUAAUAUCCCUCUUAUCUUUAUGAGGUGAAAAUGGUCCAAUACGGUCAAAUCUUUUAAGAAACAACAUUUGCAUCCAUAUAUAUUUUUUUUCAGAUACGAAUAUGUACAUUGCAUGCUAAAUUUUGAUAUUCAUAUUUGCAUCCUAUCGAGUCCGGUGUUAAAAAUUUUCGCCAAAAUACAUGGUGCAAGUUUGGGAGCGUUACUGACCGGUCAUGGCGGGCGAGGGUCCACCGUGAGGUGGGGAGGCAGAUGGGAGUUCUCGAGCAACGCCGGCGGCAAUAAGCUCAUUGGCUGCGAUGAGAAAGAGGGCGGCGAAGGCAAUAAAUGUCGGCUUUGCGGCCAUCCUUGUUCUGCAAGCCGGCAGGCAGCUCAAGUUUUCUGAAAGUUUAGAGGAGGCUCCUUAGUUUGUGUUUCGUAUAUAUUUCGCUGGAUGGUGUACACUAUGUACAUAUAUAUGUAAAGUUGAUAUGUUUAGCCACAGUAGCUAGAUGGUUCCUAGCUUUACUUUCAGUAAUCUAGACGUCACGGACACUGACACGGAAUAAGGGACGCAACGCGAUUCAAACAUGAGUAUGACAUAGACAUCAUUAAUAAAAUAUAAUAUUAUUAUUAUAAUAAUAUAUAUUUAUUGUAUAUAAAAUAUUAAUUUUGAUAAAAUAUUAUUAUAUUUUUCAUACGAAUGUAAGUUAAUAAAAUUUUAAUUAAUAGUUCAUAUAUUUAGGAAGAAAAAUUUUCCACCAUUUAUAAUUUAUUUAUAUUGUCAAAAAAAAAAUUGUAUGAAUUCAUUAAAAAGUUAAAAUAUAUAUGAUCAUCUUAUGUUAUAUAUGGAUAAAAAAAUAAAAUAAAAUAAAUAAAUAAAUAAAUAACAUAAAUAAAAAAAAAAAACAAUAAUAUAUUUAUAUAUAUAUAUAUAUAUAUAUAUUUGUGUUGUGGAUCGGCAUUGAAUGUGGGUCCAAAGAGUGUCCACAUCGAACACGUGUCCGACACGGGCACGCGAGGCUUAUAGAAGUAUCCGUGAUACAUAACUAGUAAUAGAGUGUAAUCAUAUAAUAAAUUAUUUUUAUUAAGUCACAUUUUAUAUAAAAUAUAUUCAACCAUCAUUUUUUUUCACUAUUAUCUACUAUUUUAUAAAAUUAAUCAAACACAAUUUAAAUUAUUUUUGAGAAUAGCAGUAUUACAAACCAAACACAAAUUUACUUUUAUUCUGACUAUUCCAAUAUAAUAAACUAGUUUAAAAAAUAAAAAAAAUUAUCUCAAUAUUCGUUAUUCCUGAAGUAGAUGCACUUGAUAUUUCAUGCGGUUUCCUGGCUUCUAAAUGCAACUAAAAUCCUAGCGUCAUUAGCCUAAGAGGAAUCAUUAUCUCGUUGUGUUCGCCUGCUGCAAAGGAAUCAAUAUCUCUCCGAUUCAAGAAAGAGUAUUCAUUAAAAUGAGCGCACUGAGACUGUCGAGUAGACCUGACAAAUGAGCGAAUUAGGUAAUUCGUAGAUCGGUCAUUGUACCUAUAGAUUAUGCAGGUGCGUAUAGAAUUUACUCACAAAUUUUUGAAUAACCAUCAUUCUUAUUUAUACCUGUCCGUGGAUGGGCAGGCGGGUAUACCAAUUAACCACAAAGUUUUUUUUUUCUUUUCUAUUCUUAUAAUUUUCAAGCGCAAAUAAUAUAUAUAUUAUUUUUGAAAGAUCAAAUUUCACUCAAUGUUUCACUAUUUUAUCGCAUAUUGCACUGUUCCAUAAUAUGACACGCCAAUUUAUUGCUUGUUUUGUAUAAACAGAACAAAUGUUGCACAAUUUGUUGUGCUCUUAAAUGCUUUCGUCAGUAUCCAAGGACAGUAAUUUUCGGAUCCCUAGAAUAAGUUGAUAAAAUUCGGUAUAAAGCUGGAGCUGCUGUUCCAUUUUUUUUUUUUUUUUCCUGGAGCAAGCUUGUUUUCAAGUGGGAAUAAGAUUAAUUAACAUCUAAAUUUAAUUUUAAUUAUGAUAUUAAAUUAUUAAUUAAUCUAACUAAUAUAUUUAAAUCAUUAUCUAUUGCGUAAAUAAUAAAGUAAUUAAUUAAUUCAUUAUUUAUAAUUAAUUAGGUAAUUAAUUAUUAAUAAUUUAAUAUAUUUAUCUAUAAAAUAAUAUUUGUAUUGAUCAACCAUUAAUAUUUAUAUUAAUCUAAUUAAUUUUUUUACUAGUUAUCUAACUAAAAUAAUUUACUAACUAAUUAAAAAGUUAAGUCAUAUUUAUGUUUAAUUAAUAAUUAAUAUUUUUUAUUAUCUUAUACAAUAUUCAUAGGUAAUAAAUUUACUAAUUUAUUAAUUAUUUUAAUUUAAUAUUUUGAUGUUAAUUAAUUAGAUAAAAUAAUUUUAAUUUAAAAUUAUAACUCUUAUUCCUCUUGUUCCAAUCUAAUCAUCCGAACAUUAUUUAUCUUAUUUUCAGGAACAACUCAAUUUUUAUUCAAAUACAAAAUUUGUCUGAUUUCUAUCUAAAAUAAGUAAUUCUUAUUUAUAUCCGAACCAAAAUUAACCGUACAAGUUUAUUGAAGAUUGGCUCAAAAAGGACUUUUUGCCCAGUAACCCUAUUAGAAUUUCUAAUUUGCCAAAUAAUUCUUUCCAAAUUUUAUUUGGACAACUAACCAGACAAACACGGUGAAUGAUUUGCCGUUGUUAAUUUGUUUUUUUAAUAUGUUGUGAGGAAUUUUUUUAAAUUGUUAAGAUUGUAUGAGGAUUAUUAAAUUUUUAUUUAUGGUUAAAAUUAUAUUGAUAGGUUGUUAAGAUAGAUGUAAGGAUUAUAUGUGAUUUGUUGAAAUCUUUAUGUGGUUGUUAAGAUUAUAUAUGAGAAUAAAAAAAUGAUAAAUCAUUCACUUUUUAUACUUUAUCUCUAAUAGAAAAGAAAAAGACGGUGAAUAAUUUACCGUUUUCUAAAUUUCAUUACAGAUGGUAAAUGAUUGACCGUUUUUUAAUUAUUUUUAUACCCAAUACUAAGUUGGAUAAAAUAAGGUUAUUUCAACAAAUAAAUUUUUUACAAAAUUAUUUAGCCAAUUAUAAAUUUUUAAAGGAUUAAAAUAAAAAAAUAUACAUUCAAGAACUCAACGUUAUGCAGUACGUAUAAUGAUUAUAUAUACAUGCCCUCAACAAAAGGAAAAGACCCAUAGCCACCAUUGCCCAAUGAGAUUGUGAAGCCUGGCCCACCAAAUCAUUAAACGUUACAAACGGGCGGGUUGGAUAACCCGCGGACGGGUCAUUAUACCCGCGAAUUACUUGGGCAUGGGUAAAAUUUAUCCACAAAUUUUUUGGUAAUCAAUAUCUUUACUCAUACCCGCUCGCGGGUGAGCGGGUGGGUAUGCGGGUUACCCGCAAUUUUUUUUUUCUUUUUGUCUCUUAUAUUUUUUAAAUGCAAAUAAAUAUAUAUAAGUUUCAAAAUAUAACAUAACUCAUUAUUUAAAAUAUCAUAACAUACAAUAAACAUAUUUAAAGUCUUAAAGCAAAAAAAUUUCGUAAUAUAAAAGACGCAAUAAGAAAUUAGGAUUAGAAUUUUUAGGAUGGAUAAAUAAAAAUAUAUGUAUUUUAAUUAAGAAAAUAUAUUUUUUAAUUAAAAAAUAUAUUUGCGAGUAUUCGUGGGUAACCACGGGUUACCCAAAAUACCCACAGCUUAAUGGGUAUUCACCCGUUUUAUCCAUAACUUUUUGGGUUCGAAAAGUUGGUACCUAUACCUGCAAAUUUGCGGAUAACCUGCGGGCACUCGCGGGUAUGGGUCGAGAUUGCCGGGUCUAAUAAUCAUGACCAAAAAAAAACGUGAAAAGACUUUAUUGCCCAAUGGCCUUCUUAAGAAGUGGUGCUCGAAUUGACAAAAAUGGGCCACAACAAGCGCUCAUGUAAGAAAUUUUCAUUACCAAAAACCAAGCACUGAUACUCGGUGCAAACAGUAGUACUAAACGAAAAUUAUAUAGUAUUUUUUAUACCUUUUAUUGGAUAUGUAUAUUAUUUUAUAAAGUUUUGCAAGGUUUGAAAGAAAAGUUGCACUAUUUAGCUUAGUUUGCACUAUUUGAGUCUUAAAUCCUUGCCCACCACUUUUAGGCAUCCCUCUCUAGUUAUGGACUUAUGGGUUGCUAGCCAAACUUGGUCUCCAUCUGUCACAAAAGUGUUAUAGAACAACUUCUCCAUAUGCAACACCCACUUUUCAAUGAGCUAGCGAUUAGACUUUUCUCCAUCAAAAGUUCAGAGGCAUUUCCAAAAUUUCCUCAAGAGGGCAAGAAGUCGGCUCAACUACUAAGAAAAUUGUAGGUAAUACGGUCCUUAUUGGCGAAACAUGAACCGGUGGCGUCAGUCUAAUCUCUUCACUGCGCUCGUCGCUCAGAGUAGGGUGUGAUAACUCGGGCAACAUUGUUUGAUUCACUGUUGCCGCUCCUCCCACAUUAUCCUAUUGUAGCAUUAGUGGGGGUGAUGGAUCCAAAUUCGCCCAUGCCAUUAUCACCUAUUGGAUCAAUAACUUCUCCAACUUCUUCCUCUUCUCAUCCUGACGGUGUGAAGCCUCAACUCGCAACUGCACCGCUUAUGUUUGUUUCUCCACCCUGUGACGUGCCGCUUCCCAGGGGGUCGCCCAUCCUAAAACUACUUUAGCUCUAGACCCUUAACUCUCUUAAAUCUUGAGCCUAACUACAAUCCAAAAUGCUAUAAAUGUGUUAAAAGGUUUAGCAAUAUUAUAUCUCAUAUAUAAAACUAUUUCAAAUCCUAAGAGCGUCACAUUCUUUCUCCCUUUAAGUCCUGACGUCCUUGUCAAGCUCAAGCACACUUACAAGUAUCAGGCGAUAUGAGACUCGUCUCGCUAGCUUAGCCAACUUUGUGGGAAGCUACGCUUCACCCAUAUUGGUCAUCAGCCGGGGAGUCGUGCUCUUUCUGCUGUAUAAUUCUUGCUCAGCUAAAACUCAUUUUAUAUUUCCAACUGAUGAUUGGCUUUGAGCUUCCCAGGGGGUUAUCCAUCCUAUAACUAUUCUAACGCUAGCACGCUUAAUUCUCUUAAUAUCUUGGGUCUAACCACCUCCCAAAAUGCCAUGGCUGGGUUAAGAGGUUUUGUUGUGCCCCAAAUUACAGCGGAAGCCCGAGUUACGUCAACAGAUUUGCCGUAUGUACUAUGAUACACCUUAUGAACACGAAGCGUUAGUAAAACUUGUUUAAAGAAGUUUACUAAAAUCUAACAAUAGGUAUCAAAGUAGAAUAUAACUAUGUACUAUAGCAAUACUGUAAAUAUAUACAAUUAUUAUUACACCAAUCUUCAAAAUGGUACAACAUCUCUCGCUACUCCAAAUCGCAAAAUACUAUAUAGGCUGCUAAUACAUUAAUAAGUGGUCCAACUACACACAAGAAGGGUAAGAGAUGCUUGCUAUCCCUGAUCCCCUUAUCUCGAUCAGUCACUGAUGCUGAAAGUUUUGAAAUAAAAUAAUAAUAAUAAAGAGGACAUAAGAACUAUAAAAAGUAGUCUCCAGUGAGUACGGUCGACAAUGCCAACGGUCCAUACCACUAGGUACAUAAGGGGUAGAAAUAGUAAAUAACUGAGCAAUAUGAAAGAACAAGUACUAAUAUGAAUAAUUGCUAAAAAUACUACUAUUAUCAUGCCUCUAUAGUGUAAUUGAAAACUGUAAAUCACGUAUCUCAUGCAUCUACUAGAUACUUAAUAAAAUAAUGCAAUAAUACUCUAUCAUAAUGACUAACAUAUAGUCGCCACCACCCCCAAAGUUGAGGCCUACUACACGUAGGUAAAUAUCGAAUUGUCUAUGUGGCCCAUACCAUAAUAAUACCCUAUAGUCUAACCUCCGAAGUGGCACUCAUAGGGCACUACCCUAACAGAGUAUAGUAUAUCUCUAUCAAGUUCAAUAUAGCAUACAAGCUAUAGUCCCAAAUAUAGUUAUAGUCUCACACUAUUACCACUAUCUAUUGGCGUUUAGGGCAACAUCACAUAAUACUAAUAGUGAAAAAUAUGUAUGUCUCAGUAUACUCUAUAGAUAGGUAUCAAAAUACCACUAUUAGCUCAACUAUGUCAAUAGUCUCAUAGACUAAAUAAUAUAAUAUGAACAUAGGAGUUAACUCGCCAAUUUUGGCGAUACAGAACCCACUUAAAAAUGCUAUCACAAAAGGAAGGAGAAGAAGAAGCAUAGCACCAACCCAGAAACUCCUAUAGAAUCAACUCUGUAAAUAUUACAUGCAAAAAAUGUCACGCGGAUCAAUCCUCGAUCUCCUCCAAAAUCACCCUUUCUUUUUCUCCUUCUCACUCUCUUUAUAGAAAAAGAAAAACAAAAUAAAAUGAAAAAAAGAGAGAAAAAGCACCUCAGCUAGCUAAUAUAAACAUUUUCAGCCAAACAUGCACUUUUCGGUGCAUGAAACCCAAUUCCGGUGUCCGAAAUCCUUGCUGACUCACUUGCUUGUGGCCUCUGUCACAUCACUCACCAACUCACUUUUGGGCUCAUAUUCGGACUCAGAUUCGGGAGCCUGAAACAUGGGCCCGAAUCUUUCGGAUGCAUUCUCAGGCAUCUGAAAAAGGAUCCAAAAGUAUAGUAGCUUUUGGGCUGCCAUAGUAACUUUCAGGCUACUAUAGUAACUUUCGGACACCCAGAACUAGGGCCCAAAACAUCUGAAUCCUCCUAAAACAAAAUUGGGUGUCCCAUUAAGACUUCUACAGUAACCUUUGGGUUGCUACAAUAAUUUUAGGGCACUCAGUUUUGUAUCCAAAAAUCUAGCAGCAGCCUAGAUUGAUCGAAAAUAUGAUUUAUAAGCCUGUUUUCACGUCAAUUUUGCUCCAAACGGAUCCAGGUCACUCCGACAUGUUACUGAGAUGUCAGUCAUCAAUCAUACUGCAACUUUGUAUAUUUGCUAAGGUCCAGUAUAUCACUGGGUUAGUCCUAUUAUAUCUCAUAUAUAGAACUAUUCCAAAUCCUAGAGGUUCUUUUUCUUCUUCUUAUUCUUGGUGUCCUUGGCGGCGCACUCAUUCUCUCAGGUGCUUCGAGGCCUUUUCCUUCCCGACAGGCAUUCUGUCGAAUACUUUUCGAUUGCCCUGCUCUUGGGUCCCGCCUUGAGGGAGAAAGCUUCCAGAAGAUGAAUCUUGCUGCCUAUCGCCAUCGAAUCCUCUAGAGUGGGAGGGAGCCGACAGCUGAGGAGGAGGAGGAAGAGGGAGUCUUUUCUAAAGCAUGUAGCCGCAAUCGUUGGCCACGGCAUCGACAUGGUGCAGAGAGGACGGCGAUGGUGAUGAUUAUGAUGCUUUGAUGAAGAAAAUAGGUUCAGUGGGAACAAGAGUGGGGAGAGGGGGAGGGAGAUGAAGGUUAGGGAGAGAAGAGUGGGGGUAGCCGAGGUCAUCGUCCUUUCGCUUGAGCACGUGUUUGUUCUUCUUCUUUUUGGUCAUGGCGGCAAUGGUGAUGGUAGGAGAUGGAGUUGGGAGGCUUGAACGCCACUUUAUUGGUGAUAGUGGCUGUGUAAGCUUUAGAAUUGUGGAUGAAGGACGGAGAGAAAGCUUUACUGUUUUUGCUAUUUUCAGUUGUCCUGCUAAGGGAGCAGCUGUGGAAUCACAAAAUGACAAAUAAUAAAAUUAGUUAGAUCCUUACAUUUAAAUUAUUAUACUUACAAACUAUUUAAUAAAUAAAUAAAUAAAUAAAUUUUAUACUAUAAUUAUUUUUUUUAAAAAAAAUUAAAGUGUAUGAGUUAGUAAAUUGAAACAAAUAGGCUAACAUGCACCCAUUGCUGAAGAUAGUUUUGAAUUCUGGUUUGUAUUUGGUUUGGUCUUAAAUACAAUGCCUCUGACUAAGAUGGCCAUUCAAAAUUUUACCAGGAGAUCAAACCAAUAUAAGAUUGUAGGUGAUAAAUUUUAUUUGUCUAUUUAGCAAGGAGCUCCUGUAGUCGUGAAUAACUUACAUAGCUAAUUAGCGUGCCGAGGGUGUCACACACCGCAUCGGCCAACAUGGACAACUACUCCUGCCACUUCCAGACCUUAUAGGAUCCGGAGGACGCGGAAGUCUCCAUCGGCCAUCUCGGUAGCUGUGAAGCAUAUUGUUGGUCUCUCACAGGAAGACAUUGCUAUCUGUAACGACAACAUUAGUUCAACAACAACCUAAUUCAAGCACUACUCAACAUCAAAAUAAAGUAAACACCAAUCAUGCAAAAAUAGGUAAAGCAUGCUUUCUCUAUUUCUUGAUGUCACGUUAUCGGUCGCGAACUUGACUAUCCAAGGAAAUGAAAAAUGCAACCACUUUGAUCGAAUUCCAAUCCAUAUCGGAGACAUCAAAAAGACCCAAUCACAUUACUUACGCUAUUAGACAUAAAACCCCCUUCAUUUACGAUCCUAGUCCUUGAGGUCCAAUUCCAGUCUAGGGUUUGCUAGCUCGCCCCUAAGAUUCAAUCUAGGCUUUGAUACCACCCUAAUCUAUCACACCCUAGGCUCAAAAGGAAGCACCCCCGAUAGCGUGCCUAGAUCUGCAGUGUGCAUAAGAUUCCCCAACACACACAAAGCGACAAACAACAACAAAUCAACGCAUAGGAACAAUAAGAGUUUCAUACGGGUUGGAGUAUCAAAGUAUAAAACUACUAUUCUAAUUGCAACAACAAAUCUCAAAUGAACUACUACAAGUUAAUUAGUUCCAUAUUACAACAUUUUCAAAAUAUUAUGGUUCUACAAAAGGUUCCACCCCUAGACACACCAAAAAGAAGAAUGGAGAGCUAACUACUAUGCGACUCCUUUGCCUUGAUCAUCCAUGGAGGAUGAGAGAAGCUCUGAAGAAAAAUAAAAUAACAUGAGAGCGUGAGGAUUAUAUAAAAUAGUUUUUCAGUAGGUACAAUUGCCAUAAAGAGCGUUUUGGUCACUAGGUCUAUUAGAGUCAUAAUAAUAAAACAAGAGAUAAUAGACGUGGAAAAAGAAUAUAUGCUAACAACAAGUAAAGCCUACUAUCAUGCCUCUAUUGUACAAACUAUCAUCUAUAUAUGGAUCAAUUCACAUGAAUAUACACUGACUACUCAACAUCCACCUAACCUGACCAAUAAAGGUCCAUUCAAGCUUGCACUUUGCGUAGUGGGAUGUCAAACAAUCGCAUAAGAACCCAUGUCGGUGCUCAACAGCUAGUGUGAGUCAAACAAUUCACAUGAUUUUACUAUCAAAUUUCAGUAACUAGAGUCUAGACUAUAGAUAUUGAUCUUAAUUCAAACUCAAAUCCAAGGCUAGAGCAUUAUUGUUAAUGAUUGGAAGCUCUAAGCAACUCCUCUUUCAAAUAUCUUGCUUCCCACAUAGCACAAGAUGCUUUUAGUCUCAUGGAGAAGGGAGAAUAAAGAAGAAGAUGAUGAGAAUGGAAGCAAUUGGAGAAAAAAUGAGAAAGAAGAAGAAAUGGUGAUGAACUCACCUUCCUCUCUUCGUGGCGUUCACAGUGAAGAAGAAGGAAAAGAGAGUACUUAUAGUGUUACAAAAUGCUCUAAAGCGCUCAAACCAUUGAAAAUUGCAACUUGUGCAAUUCCAGAUUUUGCAGCAUUGAGUACCAGUACUCGCACAUCAAUAUUGGUUUGCCACCAUUAUGUUCCGCCCUUGUUUGCUUCUUGGUGCGUCCAUCUCUCCAUACUUCUUUCCUGCCUUCUCCUUGGCUCAAGUCUGACCCACAAGGGUGCUCCUAAUCGGAAUUCAUCUAGAGUCUUUUAUUCAAGGCCAGUUCUGAAGAAUAUGAAUCUUAUACGCAUCGCAAACUUCAGUAUUGGUACUUCAUAUUUCAGUAUCGAUAAACCCUAAAGUUCCAUAUCCUCAGUAUUGAUACUCUUGGCCAAAACUGUAGUUUAUAGGUUUCAGUUUUUUGAGUCCAUUUUCAUGUUGUUUUUGCAUUGAAAAUGCAAAAAUACUCAAACUGAAUCAGAAUCAUCUAAAUCAUAUUAAAUACUAUUUUCUCAACGGAACUUUGCUGUUUGCAAAACUUCGGUGCACUAUAAGUAAUAGUUUUUUUCUAUCACAUUUAUUUAUUUCUUGGAAUGUGUCGGGUUUUUUCCUAUGCUGCAUUAAUUAUGCCACCAUAGAUUGCACUCUCCAAAUUUUUAUUGCACAAUUUAAUACGAUAUUGCACAAUUUUUUUUGGAAAAUCAAUUAUUUUAUGUUGCAUCAUCUAUAAACUCUCAUGAAACCUCAUGUUUUUUGUCCACGUGGCGGCAUAUGGCAAUGUUUUUUUCUCAACCCCAUCUCAUUUAAGUUCCCAAUUAAUCGGUUCAAAGUAUCGAUUCAUCUUCCAAACGGUUUGAUUAAUCUCAUUCCAUCUUCAACCCUUCAUCUUCCAAACGGUUCGAUUAAUCCCAUUCCAUCUUCAACUUUUCAUCUUCCAAACGGUUCAAUUAAUGUCAUUCCAUCUUCAACCGCCGCCAAGAUGCCGCUCCGACUCUUCUUCAACCCUUCAUCUUCCAAACCGUUCAAUUAAUCUCAUUCCAUCUUCAACACAAAUAAAUUAUUUGCUGCCCCCUAGAUGCUGCUCCGCCUCUUCAACACAAAUAGAUCGUAAACAGAUCGUAAAAGAAAUGCACGGGGGAUCAACAAAGAAUGCACCAAAAAAUUUACCCACAUUGGUCCCUUUCGCCGAUCCGGCGAUCCGAGGUGCGCCCCUCCCCACAUUGCACUGGUUAGUGAUGUUCCCGAGCGCGACCCUCUUCUUGGCCUGCUCCGCCGCGGGCGCGGCCACCUUGGUGGCGUUCUCCGCCGCUACAGGCCUCUUCGCAAGCGACGACGAGGACGAACCCGGCCCGGGCAACGGAGUCGAUCCCCGGUUCGAGCUCGCCAUCGAGGUGAAACGACCCUAACCCUAACCGUAACCCUCGAGCCGUAGGCCGGCCGGGUUCAUUGUCGAUCCAUUCUUCCCGUUGCGCUGUUUUCUUUAGCGACGCUUCGUUCCUGCUAUUGAUCGCCCUCCGUUCGUAAAAUUGGUUCGGAUUCAUUCUCCAUGCUCCCGUAGAUUCAUUGAAUAUCUGUAUUUGUUGAAUCCGAAGAUUCAUUUUACGUUGAAUGCAAUUAUUGUUGUUGCCUAUAUAAUAUGCCUUCAUCAAAUUUUAAUUUGUAGCAAAAAAAUUUUAUUUUUCUGUCAUUUUUACCUUUUAUUUUUUUUUUUACCUUUCAUUUUCGUUUGAAUAUCAAUUUGGUUGCUUAUUGUUUAUUUUAAAAAAUACUGAAUAAUUUUAUUUUGUCUCAGAAAAUUGACUGUCUGUGUACAGUUGAUCUACGGUCGAUUGCCUCAGAAGUUGUAAAUUCUUUGAAUUAAUUUUUGUGUAUAAACAAUUUUUUUUGCCUUCCAAUUUGUUGAUGUGGAUAAUUUAGUAUUUUUUUCUGUUCCUGAUUGCCUCAGAUUUAAUUUUAUGUAUAUAUGUGCUAUUUAUUUUACCUUCCAAUUUAUUAUUGUGAAUAAUUUAGAAAUUUAUUUUUUAGUAAUUUAUUUUCUCCGUUCCUGAUUGCCUCAGAUUUAAUUUGUAUGUAUAUAUAAACUUUUUUUUUUCCUUCUAAUUUGUUACUGUGAAUAAUUUAGAAAUUUAUUUUUUUCCCGAAACUGAUCGUAAUGCUAUUAUAGAUGACAUAAUCUAAUUUGGUUGGUAAUUUACAAAUAUUUUUGCAAUAAUUAUUCAAGAAUUUUUUGUGAGAUGCUAAUCUUAAUGCUUAUAUAUAUAUAUAUAUAUAGAGUAUGGCUAGAAUACUGUUACAGGAUCACCUAAGUGAUACUUGUGUGAUUUUAGAAUGGAUGGGAGAGAUGGGAAGGUUUGAGAUGAUGGGGUAGUUGGUGGUAGUGGUGGUAGGUGGAAUAGUAUUUGAUCCAAGGGCUCAUUUGUAAUCAAAAAGUAGCAUCAAUGCUAAAAAGUGAUAGCAAUUGGGGAUGAUACUUGAUAAAGUAUCACUAAAUCAACUCUAGUAUAUAUAUAUAUAUAUAUAUAUAUAUAAGCAUUAUAUAUAUAUGAAACAAAAAAAAUUAUAUAUGUUUUUAGUUUGUUUAGAAUACUAAUUCUAAACAUCAAUCCAUUGUUUAAGGUAUUACACAGUAAAAAAAUAAUAAGACGAUUUCUUUUAUUAUGUUUUGGUAAGUUGUAAUUUCAUUAUAAAAGUCUCUAAUAUAUUUUUUUUAUUGUUAUAUCUAAUCAAUAUAGUUAUAUUUUUUGUUUCUUCUUUACGUUUAUAUUUAUUUACUAAAAUAUUUCUACCCGUCGCAUCGCGCGGGUCACUACACUAGUUUAUACAUUGUUGCACUAUUUCUCAAAAUCAUAAAGUGCAACUUUUCCUUCAAUUGGACAAUAUUAAAUAAGGGAUAAUAUAUCUAACAUAACUGUGAGUGUUAAAAAUUUAAAAGCAUUUGCGUUAGACGAGGGGAUUAUAUGUUGAAAAACAGAGAUUAAAGAUUCUAUACUCCUUAGAAAUCAUAAAGAUUUCUAAUUAAUUACGCCUAGACAACCUCCGAUUAAGCUGGUCAAUUAUGAUAAUUAACAAAACAGAAUGCAUUUCUUUUAUUACUCUUGUACAUCGGUGUACAAAAUUAAUACAACUGAAAAUGAGGAAAAGCGACAAUUAUCAUUUCUCUACUUCUCUCCUCUUCAAGGUAUUUCUCUAAAACAAUGUCGGCCAUGCAUCAUGCAUAAGCUUUCUUUGGUAUUUCAUCGAGCAUUUGACACGCACACAAGUAAUGUGCAAAUUGCCUUUGACAUUUCAUCGAAUACUUGGCACGCGUACAUGAACAAUGCAGCAUGCUCAAGUUUUCUUUGACAUUCUGUGAUAUGCACACCAUUUUUGGCAUUUCAUCGAACGUUUAGUACGCGUACAUGAACAACGCGCUAUGCACAAAUUCUUUUUGGCAUUUUGUCUAACACUUGGUGUGUGCACAUAAAUUAUCCAUCAUGCACAACUUGUUUUUGACAAAAGCCAAUUCAAAAUAGCGGCAAUCAAUAAUUUGAUUGGAGCUUUCCAUCGACGGCUAAGCGUCGAACGGAUAGUCGUCGUCGUUGUUGUCGUCUACUGCUGACGGUUAAGCGUCAAGCGGAUGAUCAUCGUCGUCGUUGUCGCUAUUGUCGCCUACCACCGACGGCUGAGCGUCAAACGGAUCGUCGUCGUCGUUGUUGUCGCCUACUGCCGACGGCUAAGCGUCGAUCGGAUCGUCCAUCAUCAUUGUUGUCGCUAUUGUCUCCUACCGCCGACGGCUGAGCGUCGAGCGGAUCGUCGUCGUCGUUGUUGUCGCCUACCGCCGACGGCUGAGCGUCGAGCGGAUCGUCGUCGUCGUUGUUGUCGCCUACCGCCGACGGCUCAGGGUCGAGCGGAUCGUCGUCGUCGUUGUUGUCGCCUGCCGCCGACGGCUAAGCGUUGAGCGGAUCAUCGUCGUCGUUGUUGUCGCCUACCGCCGACGGUUGAGCGUCAAGCAGAUGAUCAUCGUCGUCGUCGUUGUUGUCGCCUACCGCCGGCGGCUAAGCGUCGAGCGGAUCGUCGUCGUCGUUGUUGUCGCCUACUGCCGACGGCUGAGCUUCAAGCCGAUGAUCAUCGUUGUCGUUGUCGUUGCCACCUUUACCGUCGACGGCGAAGCGUCAAGUGGAUCGUCAUCGUCGUUGUUGUCGCCUACCGCUGACGGCUAAGCAUCAAGUGGAUCGUCGUCGUCGUUGUUGUCAGCGCAGCAACAGCAGGCAGAUGGCCACCUCCUUGGUCGAUGAUGACGCCACACUAGCAAAAAGGAACGUGCACCAAUCCGGGAUCAACGAUGACGGGGCAACGGCUGUCAGCAAAGGUGUCGGAAUGGCUACGAGCGACCGUCUUUUCUUGGUUGACGAUGACUCGGCGUAGUAGAGGUUGAUGACGGCACGUAUAGCCCGGUGUGCAUAGAAAGUUCGAUGUAUGGAGUGCCUUGACUAGGAGAGAAGAGAAAAAAAAAAAAAAAGUGAGAGGAUCUAAACCCACCUUUCUAUUUGGCUUUUUUUUUUUAAUCCAAGUUUCUUUCCUCCUUUUUUUUUGUGAGUCGAAUCCUCCCCCUCUUUUUUUUGUUCGCUUUCCUUUAUAUAGAUAGAGGGUGGUGGAGGUUUAUGGUGAAGAGAAGUAAAUGGUAGAGAAAUGGAGGGAGUGAUGGAGAAGUGGAGGAAAUGGAGGGAAAGUGGAAGGAGUAAUGGAGAAGUGGAGGGAAUGGUGAGAAAGUGGAGGGAAUGGUGGAGAAAGUGGUGGGAAUGGUGAGAAAGUGGAGGGAAUGGUGGAGAAAGUGGUAGAAAUGGAGGGUAUGGUAGGAGAGAGUGGAGGAGUGAAUUUAAGGAAGUGAUUAUUAUUAUUAUUUUUUUUUAACAAUAACCUUCAAAACUUUAAAAAUAUCUAAUAUAUCACUGGUUAACCAAAAAGAGUUUGUUCAUUUCCAAAAAUUACUUCAAAUAUCCCCAAAAUCUUAGGGUUUUCUAAUCGGGUUUAGGGUUUAGAAGGACAAUUUGGAAAUAGGAGGUAAAUUUGAAAAUUUUGAAUAGUUGUUAGGGUUAUAUAACCAAAAGCCCCUUUUAUCAAAUUGUUUAUUUUGUUUUCAAAUUGCGCACUAUUUAUAGCUUUUAUGUUCACUAGAAAGGCCGAAAAAGAGGAAAGAAGAAGAAAGAAAUUAAUGGUGCAACACAAAUAUAAAUAUACUAAGGAACGAGUAAGAAGAAUACAAAAAAGAAAGAUAACAAGAAGAAGAAGAAGAAGAAGGAGGAAAAAAAAUGCAACAAAAACAACAAGUAGAAGAAGGAGAGUGAUUACACUAAUUAGCCCUCGUGGUGCACUAUUUAACCAAAAUAUUGCAUCAUGAGAAUAUUUAUUGCGAGUUCGGCUAUGGUGCUUUUAAAAGCACCAAGCAUUUGGUGCCUGCAAGUUUUUCACCAUUAGAUCUAUCCCUUUGACCAAUUUUAAUUCUUAGAUCAUAUUAUUCCACCAACUACCCACUCAACCCAAAGGGCCUAUUUAUUGCACUAUUUAGAAAGAUAAUAUACUAUUUUUGGCUAAAUUAUAGAAAACUCUUUGUUAAAAUCUCUUUUUUUGUUUUCUCCCUUGUCAUUUAAGAACAUACAUUUUGCUUUUUUAAAAAAUAAAAAAUGUUCAUAGAGGGUACGGUAUUAUAACUAUAUUGACAAAAAUGACCAAAAUGUCCUCUCCAUACUUGUCUCCUUCCCAACCCUCCUUCAUCUGUGGUCUCUCCACUUCCGUCCUUUGUGACUCCCACGACCCCAACUCGCUCUCCUCUGCUGCCUCACCCUCGCUCUCCUUCAUUUGGUGACGGUGGGAAGAGGUUGGGGUGGGCGCGGAUAGAGAGUGGGCGAGGGUGAGACGGUGAAGGAUGCGAGUGUAUGGGUGUGGGCGUGAACGAAGGGAUGAGCGAGGUGAGGCGGCACGGCCGACGACGUCGUCGGUGAGGGGAGGGACGCGGCGCUGCUGAGAAGUGGUAGAAGGGUAUAUUGGGUAUAAAAAAAAAUAUAAUAUUAGGAUAUAGACGAAACACUAACGGCGGGAUCCGAAGCGAAUAUUUUUUAUUUUUUAAAAGGGCAAAGUGUAGGUUUUUAAAUGACAGGGAGCAAAAGUAAAAAAAAAAAUUUUGUCGAAGGAAUUUUCUAUAAUUUAGCUUCUCUCUUUUUUUUUUUUUUUUUUUUUUUUUUUUUUUUUUAAUGUUUGUCCAAUUUUUAAGCCGGUCAGUUUUUGAAAUGAUCUCAAACAAGAAACGAUGAGGCACGCUCAUAGAAAUGCGUAGUUCUGUAGGUCCCGUUAAAAAAUGGUACCAUACGCGAGACAUCGGAAUAUACAAAUAGACGGUGCAAUCUUCUCACAUAUAAUUUUAUACAUAUUCUUGGUGUAAGAGGUAUUUUGGUCAAAUUUUUGAAAAUUUAGAUUGAUUCAUGUAUAUAAAAUUGCAAAAUUAGCAAUUUUUUAAUUAAAAAAAUAGUAUAUAAAUAACUGUGGAGAGACGUCUGUGAUAGGGGUGGAAACGAGCCGAACACGAGCUGGCUCGUUAAAGUAUCGAGCCGAAAAAUUCAGCUCGUGUUCGACUCGUUUAUUAACGAGUUGAACAUGAGUUGGCUCACGAGCUGACCAACGAACAAUAAAUUACAAAAGAUUAGAUUAAAUAUAUAUAUAAAAUAAAUUUAUAAAAUUUUAUUCAUUAGACUUUGAUCUAAUAGUUGAAAUUUUACAAAUAAAUGUGUCUUUUUAUAAUUAAGCUUGUAUUUAUAUUUUUAUUUUACUAAAAAUUAAAUAAUAAAAAUAUAUAUUAUAUAUAAUUAUUUAUUUAUAUAUAAAAAUAUAAAUUAAAUAAAUUAUAUAAAUAUAAAAUAUAUGUAUUCGAGCGGUUAUCGAGCCGAGCACGAGCGAGGUGACCCAGCUCGUGUUCAGCUCGUGUUUGACUCCUUUACUAAACGAGUCCCGAACUCAUUUCGAGCUGAACACAAAUCGGCUCGGGAACACCGAGCUGGAUUGCGGCUCCUAGUAUGUGAUAUUUUGUUAAGGUUUUGGGAGGGACGUCUGACGAUGCCCUCGAAGAAAAUAACUAUCGGCUGACGGCACAAUGGCCUGACGGCCGCGCUCCGUGCUCACCUUCAAAGCCGCCAGCGGUCUCCGAAGAUACCAUCUGCCAUUUUAUCGGCGGCCUUGUCCUGCCAAAUUUCGACAUUGCAUCUCCGCUGCCGCAUUUGCUCUGUUCUCCCCCUUCUUUGAGAAGGUACGGCAUUUUUUCUGAUUUUUUGGGGAGAAUUUUGCUCAGAAGCGAAAUUAAUUUGUUCCUGUUCUGUUAGUUAAAUUCAGCGUGCCCAAAUUUGUUCGUAACAGGUUGAGGAAAUUUGAAUCAUGCAGAUGAUUUGCUGAUGCAAACAUCUUUGCUUCCUAUCAGAUUGUUAGCAGCAAGGAUUGAAGUAUCCAUCGGCACAGAGCACGAUGCAGUUUCAGCGCUGAUGACACAGUUUAAAACUUAUUUUUUCUUUAAAUUAGUAAGUAAUAAUUUUCUCAAAAAAGUUCAAAAGGUUUGAUAAAGAUACAUAAUAAGCGAUUAGAAUAUUUUGUUAUUAAAAAAAAUAAAUAUUUUAUGCAAUUAUGCGUGGCACGCAUAUAUUUUUUGUGAGUGACCGGCAUGCAGAGGCACAGCUUGACACGCAUCGUGCCGUACUGUGUCAGUAAAUUUUCGGCACGAUCCCGUGUCACGACACUUAAAUCUUUAGUUUAGCGGAUAUCAAAGAGGAAUUAAUGAAAGUGGGUUUUGUUGCUUGUUAUUCAUUAUAACUUUUCAACUUAGUAUAUGCAAAGAAUAAUAUAUCAUUCACUAUAAUAGCAAUUUAAGAUUUUUUUUUUCUUUUUCAAAUAUAAUUUAAAUUACUGUUAAAAAUCAAUAUUUCUUCAUAUGGAUCCAUCAACCAGUGACUCUUAAGGGCAAUUUGGUUCAUGAUUGAAAUGGGAAUGGAAAAUGGAAUCAGAUUGCACUGGAAUGGGAAAUGGAAUGUUGAAUCAUCCAAAUAUGUUUGGUUCAUUAUUGGAAUGAAAAUUGAAAUGAACAUUUAGGAUUUUGAGAGAGUGUUUUGGUUACAAGACAGGAGAGUGAUGAAGGGAGAGGAGGGGAAGGUGUUUGUUUGAGAAGGUUUUGAGCAGUUUACUUUCGAAUGGUUCAAUCCGCGAUUCAAAACCGGAUUGGGCCAUAAAUGGAUUAGGCCAUUCCUAUUCCAGAGUAGAAUAGGAAUUGGAAUCCAAUUCCUGUAAACCAAACAAUAACUAUCGGAAUCAAUGAAUUCCAUUCCGAUUCCAUAGUCUAAACUGCGUGAACCAAACAAGCCCCAACUGUCUCCCUAGUCAUCUCUGGUAAAGUUAUUUCUUUCUGAAAAUAUAUGGAGUGUGUGGGAGAUACUAGGCUUUCUGUAUAGCUAGUAUCAAUGAUAUUCCUGGAUCAUUGCUUGCAGAGAAACAAUUUUGUCCCUAGGACAAUGCAAUUUGUGUGCCUCCGACUUAGGGUUUAUCGCUACAACUUUUUCUUUCGCUACUUUAUAACUUCAACUUUAUUCUUGGCUGUCAUAUGUUAAUUUUAUACUAAUAAGGAAAUUAACCCUAAUUUCAUUGUAGUCCAUCGAAAAUUCUUUGAAUUUGCCAGUAAAUUUAUAAUCAAACGAUUUAGCAUAGAACUCAAAUUCUAUUUUAGAUGCAGACUAAGCUUGGUGAUAGACAAGACCCGUGAUUUGUCAAUUGAUUGGCUCUCUAUAAAGAACACUAUUUGUUGUUCAAGGUACCUUAUUUGUGCCUUUCUUGAUGUAUGGUAGAUUGAUUCACCUUUAAUAUUCAAUAAAUGCAACUGAGUCAGAAGAGAAUGUUUUCCUAUAGUAUUUCUGAUGCUAAAUAGUAAGUUAAUUCUCUAUUUACUUUCGAUUUUAUUUUUAUUGCCAUUUGUUUAUUCUUAUUCAGAAAUCAUAGGUAAAUGAAAAGUGAAAAUAUUAUAUGAAAACUUAUGUUGUGGAUGAUGUAGCAUUGGACGAUUAGUCCAUUCUGAUAAAAUUUUACCACUGUCUGUAGAGUAAUAGGAAGUUUCAUCUCAAUAAAUUGAGCAUGAUUCUUUAGCCAUCUCAAAUUCCAUAUGGGAGCGGCAAAUAUGAUUUUUGUAGUUUUUCUUGUCGACAGCACUAGUUCUCUCUUAUAUAUUGGACGUUAGUAAUCAACAAGGAUUUUACUGCCGUGUGUCACGCCCCUACGCAGAUAUAACAAGCCGAUGAGAGCAAGUUGCAUCGAUCAAUGAACGAAAAAGGGUAGUAACAACAAGGUAUUAGUAGAAGAAACUGCAUGUGAGCAUGUAAAAGAAACAACAGUCUUGCACUAUAGCAUGAUAGUAGACUAUGUCUGAUGAACUGCAACCAAUGUAUGACUAAGCAUCAACCACAUCUUGACCCAAUCUACGAUGUAAUUUUUCAGUCCUAGGGAGGCCAUAACUUUUCAGUUCCCGACUGCUUAUUCUCUGGCAAAGCCUUAACUUCUCAGUCUCUGACAAGGUCCUAACAUUUUAGUCCCAAGUUACUAUUCCGGAAGAACUCAUCCUAUUACGAGGUUGAUCGGAUCACCGUGGUGGUGACAUGGGAGCAAAGCAUCAUGUCAUUAUGCUCUAUGAUCAACAAUAUCGGUAGCAGUAGGGGAUGUCCAACAUCUUAACUACAACAACAACAGCAACAACGGUAGCCGCUUUGGCUAAUACAUGAAUCACUGUACUAACCCAUAGUGUCAUCAUGAAUGUGUGCAGGUUUAGCUAGCAUGCUUUCAAUGACAAGUAAGGCUACAACAUAGAUAUGCGGGUGAGUAUGCUAUAAGCAAAUAAAUAGGUAUAUCAUGACAGUAAACAGGGAAGUGAAGCAAAAAUACAAUAAACAAGUAUUCAUGUCCUCCUCAACCAAAAUAUAAUGCCAAACUACUACAUGGAUGCCAUGAACCAACAAUAGCGAGAGAAGUGUUGAGAGAAUAGAGCCAAUUCACCAGGGUUUCUCUAAACUUCUGAUUGAGCACUCACCUAGUUUAGUUUGCUUGGCGACUAGGAUGCGUUUCUAGCUCCUUGAUUGUUGCUCGGACCUAAAGAGGAGAUAAACACAUCAUACAACGCACUAGGGUUCCACUUGCAACCAAGAAACCAUGAAGGAACUCAAAUUUGGUAAGGUUCUGGAACUUGAGGUUGAGGUUUCAGAACCAACACUGGGUUCCGGAAUCUAUUGCCAAGUUCCACAGAACACGAGCCUGCUUCCAGCCUUCCACUGUCCUUGUCCAUUGAACUAGUUUAAUUGUUUUAAGUUUCCGUUUUUAUUUUUUUUCAGUGCACGUAAUUUUCCUGUGAAAAUUGCAAUGAGACUAAUUAAUCUUCUUCCUCGACAGAAGCAAGGAUGAUUGAAAGUGAAAGCAGUAGUUCUGAUUCUGCGGACCUGGAGGAACCUGCCAGUUCCAUGACUAGGGAAUUAAACAAUUACCAGUUGCUACGAGUUACCCAUGAGAAAGGAACAAAAUUAUGCUUGAUCAGUAAAGUCCCACAACACAUCUAUGAGUUCAAUUCAAAUGCUUUCAAGCCAAUCGUAAUGGCCAUCGGUCCUUACCACCACGGGACUCGAGAACUUCUAACUAUGGAGAAGGUUAAGUGGAACUGUCUGAGUUAUGUCCUCGGAUUGAAUCGUGAAAGAGAUUUAGAGAACUACGUUACGGCAGUUGAGGAACUCGCGUUACAAGUAAGAAACUGUUACUCUGGGGAAAUUACCAUAGAAAAUAACAAGUUUGUACAAAUGCUCUUGCUCGACGGAUGCUUCAUACUCGUGGCUCUUUGUGCGACUGACGGAAUUGCAGCAUCCUUACCAGAAGUAUAUGAUGGGAAUGCUGAUUGUCAGGAAAUAACAGCCGAAUAUGGAAUAGGACGAGACGGUGAGCCGAGGAGCAUGAAGAACAAGAUUGUAAUGAGUGACUCCACCACGGAGAAAUCAAUGCUUGAGGUGGAACCAAGCCGGGUGGAUAGUCAAUACAGAAUCAGGAACUGUGGAAUUGACAUUGAGUAUGGCCAAAAUUAUAGUUCUGAUCAGAUGGGACUCUGGUACACAAAUUUUCUCGCACACGACCUGCUCCUGCUUGAGAACCAAAUACCUUUUAUUCUUGUAAAGAGAAUUUAUGAGCUAGUUUUAGGUAACAACGUGGUGAUUCCCUCACUUACGGAUAAAAUUGCCGGAUUCAUAGAAGACAUUCUUAUUCACUACCCAAAAUCCAUUCUAGAAUCAGACAGGCCGAAAGAUUUUAACCAUCUGCUCCACUUGUGCCAUAUGUAUUUCAAGCCUUGUCGGGGGACGGAGGGCGACAGUCAUCAACAUCAGGCAAAGCCUCGAUUCUUUCACCGUUUUCUUCAUUUAGAUCACAAAUAUUUUGAAGUCGAUUGCUUACCAGCUGGUCAGCUAAGACGUUGGCGACGGGCAGUGCAUUACCAUGAAGCAGGAGUUGUAUUUACGAGAAAAGAGCUCGACAAAGAGCAUCCCCAUUCGCUUUUGGAUAUAAGAUUCAGUAAUGGUGUGGUGGAAAUUCCGUGUUUGCUUAUUGAUGAGAACACUGAUUCUCUUUUCAGGAAUCUAAUCGCAUUUGAGCAAACAUGUCCUCAAUUUGGGAACAACUUCACUGCAUAUAUUUUUUUCAUGUCUCAGCUCAUCAGCAUGCCAGCUGAUGCCACUCUACUUGUUCAGAGAGGAAUAGUUGUGCACCAAUUGCAUAGGGACGAAGAUGUGUCGACUCUUUUCACAAAGCUCAAUAAAGAUGUUGUGUUCGAUUUCAAUGGUGACUAUUACCUAAAGUUGAUGUCUAGCGCGUUGGAAGCGCACUACCAAAGUCGUCUGAAUCGGUGGGUGGCGUGGUUGCGGAACAACCACUGCAGCAAUCCAUGGUUGGGCUUAGGAGUUCUUGCGGCGACUGUCGUGCUUUUCUGCACUCUAGUGCAGACGCUGAUUGCCGUCUUGUCCUACAUAAACCCGCCAUGAUCACGUCAGCAGAACGCUCGACCAACAGCUCAAAUUCAUAUGCCGGUCUGCCGUAAAAAUGGCCGACUGCUUUGAAGCUGUCCCUAUGUCGGUUUUUGCCCGUUUUCACAGAGGUAUAUUUGGUCCUCCAUGCAUUUCCUUUUAACUGUAUAUUUUUGCCUUUGGAUUGUCUGAUGCAGUAUUAAUUAUGCAUACCUGUCUUUCUUGUAUGACGUUGUAGGUAUUUCAUAAAAAUGCACAGAUCUUAUCCGAAGCGAGGAUUUAAGUGCGCAUUGGCACGGGCCGUAUCCAUUGUGCCAUAUCAUACCAGCAAGAUAUUGGCAGGAUACAGUCUCAGUGCUGAUGAUAUAGCUCAAAAUUCUCUUUUCGGUACGACCCUGUGCCACGACAAUGAAAUCCUUGAUGUGAAACAUACUGCAUAUUGAAAUAAAUAUCUGCACUUUAAAAUUUUUUAUUGUACAAACAAACCUUAAUAGUGUUUUUGAAGUUGGUACCUAUUUUACUACCUAAUCUUAUCGCUAUCUGUAGUAUUCGAUAAAUUAUUCUAUAAGUAACAGGAUAUUGUGUUACCUGACGAAAUAUAUAUUUUUAUAAUGUUUACACAUACUCUAUGGUGAGAUUAGGUAAUAAAGUAAAAAUUCCUCAAAAGUUUAGGUAUCAAUUUCAAAAGCUUUGAAAUUAUUUCGUUUGUCGGGUUUAAGAUUCGUAAAUAUGUAUAUCACAUUUGAUGUCAAUCAGUUGACUGUUGAUGCAAAGAAACAAUCGAGACCGUUGAAAUGUAGAGUAAAUGUUCAUAAUACUAACUCUUUUUUUUUUUUUUUUCCUAGGGCUCAUGGGUCACUGUGUUCAAGUCAUAUCCUGUUUUAUGUCUCAGCAGAAGCAAUUGGGAUCGCCACAAUGUGGAACAAAAUGAUUAUGAUCUAAGUUUCUCUAUAAUCGAUGAGUCGCUGUGUUUGAGUCAUUUACUUUGUGUUAUGUCUAAUGUAUUACAUACGUGGCUAUAAUUCUCGUAUGUCUGUGUCGGACUCAUGUCCGACGUGGAUGCACCAUGAACGCUUAUUCGAGGUGGGUGCGUCCAUGGUGCAUCCCCCCAAAAAAUAUUUUAUUUUAAUUUUUUUUCUAUGCAUAUAUAAUGUGAGAAUAUAAAUAUUUUGGCUUUUGAUGAAUGAAUAUAAUGUCUGUUUGAACGAUUAAAUUAUGCAUGGUGGAGAUAUUUUUUUUUGAACUAUAUGAACUAUUAUGAAUAAUAUAACAGUGUAUAGCAAGAUUAAUAUUUUAUAUGUAAUAAGUAUAUGUUAUUGUAUAAAUAAUAUUAUAUUUUGUUAGUAGUGCUCAUAUCUUGUCUGUAUCCUUUUUUUUUUAUUUAAACUUGUCGAAUAGUAAUGUUCGAGUUGUGUCGUGUAUCGUGUUCGUGUCUGCGACACCUAAAUUAUGCCUGUGUAACCUAGCUUUAGAUUUUUUUUUUUGAUUUAAGUUAUUUCCAUAAAUUAAAUUGAGGGUGAUUUUGUAACUUUUUGGGUCGAUGGAGUUGCAGAUAUUGCUUACUAUUAAUGAGUUUUAGUUAAUUAAGCUGUUAAUUUUAAAUAAUUGAUUAUAUUAUAACAUUUGUAACCGAAUAUUUUGUGAAAUUUCAUAUAGAUUUUUAAUUCUCAUAUUUUAGAGUAUGAUGUGUAAGGUAAAUUAAUUACUAAUUACUUUACAGUUUGGUUUGAAAAAUAGUCUGGCUACUAUAUACUCCUUAUGAGUAUAAAGUUUUUUGUACUCAUAAAUUUUCGAUCGUUAGAUUUAUCUCUUUGACUAUUCUCAUCCCUUUGAUCAUAUUAUUCGACCAACUACCUACUAAAUCUUAGGGGAUCACUAUCAUCCUAAUCGGAGACUACUAUCAUUCUAGCCACAUCUCUUCAUCCAAUGACCGAAAACUUUACAAAGGAUUUUAUACUCAUAAUGCAACAUCAGUAGUAAUCUCAUUUAUAAAUCCAAGUUAGCUGGAUGUAUCAAAAUAACAUACAAUGUUACAUAACGCGACCCAAACGGGCCCUAUGAGUAUAGAACUCUUUGUACUAUAAAAUUUUUGGUUGUUAGAUCUAUCCAUUUGACCAUUUUCAUCCAUUAGAUCAUACUAUUCGACCAACCACCUACUCAACCUUAGGAAAUCACUAUCAUCCUAACCACACAUCUUUUCAUCCAACGAUCAAAAACUUAUGAGUACAAAGAACCCUAUACUCAUAAGAAUUGUGACGCCCUAACUUCCGAGGGGGUUACCCAUCCGAGGACUAUUCCCGUCCUAGCAUGCUUAGCUCUCUUAACCUCUUGGGCCCAGCCAUCACCCAAAAUGCUUAAGCUGGGUUAAGAGUUUAGUCCAAUUAUAUCAUAUAUAUAUAUAUAGGACUAACUGGGGUCUCACAAUCUCCUCAUCUUUAAGCCUUGACGUGUUAGUUAGGCUCAGAUUCAUAAGUACCAAGCGAUGUGAGACUCUUUUUUCUAGCCAUAACCGACUUCGUGGGUGGGCACGCUUCACCCACAAUAGUCAACAGCAUGAGAGCCUCGCUUUUCCCGCUAUAUAAUUCUCGCUCAGCCAAGACUCAUCUCACACUUCAAGCUGGUAAUUAGCUCUUAUACCAACUGUGACGCCUUAACUUCCCAGAGGGUCACCCAUGACCCCCAAGGACUACUCCCAUCCUAAUAUGCUUAACUCUCUUAACCUCUUAGGUUUAGCCACCACCCAAAAUGCUUAAGUCGGAUUAAGAGUUUUAAGCGUGCUAGGAUGGGAGUAGUCCUUGGAUGGGUGACCCUUUGGGAAGUUAGGGCGUCACAGUUGGUAUCAGAGCCAAGUACCAGAGCCGAAAGUGUGAGAUGAGUCUCAGCUGAGCCGGGAUUAUACAGUGGGGAGAGCGAGGCUCUCAUAUUGUUGACUGUUGUGGGUGGAGCGCGGUUACCCUAUAAAGUCGGUUAUGGCUAGCGACACGAGUCUUACAUUGCCUGGUACUUGUGAGUCUGAACUUGACGAGGACGUCAGGACUUAAAGGGGGGGAGAUUGUGAGACCCCAGGUAGGCCACCUUAUUUUUUCUUCCUCUCAAAAGAGUCAUUUCUUAUACACUCCCGCACACACACACACACAUGUGAGACAAAGGAGAGGGUUCUCUAUUUCUCUCUAACUCACAUCUCUCUCUUCUUCUCUUGUAAUCUCUCCACCAAAGGAUAAAUUGGAGGAGAUUAAGCUUGAAAGAAGCUUGAAAGAGAGGAUCAAGCUCAAGGAGCUUGGUGAACUUGGAAGCCAUGGUGAGCUUUGGUGAUUUGAGUUAUGGUUUGGGUUAAAUCCUUUAAAAUUGAUGUAUUCAGAAUCUCUAGAUUAUUCUAAACUAGUUUGAUUAAGGGAUUAUCAAGAUUGAUGAGGUUUUCUUGUAAAAUUUGAAACCCUAGGAUAAGACAAAUGUAGUACCCUUAUACUUAUAUAUAUAUAUAUGUAUAUAUUGUAUGGAUGCCAUGUUGCCUUUGCAUGCAUGGCAUGCUUAUCCAUUUCCUUAAUUAAGAGAUGCACCCGCACCUCCUUAAUUAAUUUUUCCUUCCUCUCUUUUCUCUGGAGCCGUACGCAAGGACGAGGAGAACCCGGUUGAAGCUUGGAGCAACGUCGACGUCGCGUCGCGGAGCCGUUCGAGCGCGCGCGUGUUACCGUAGCAUCGCGAGGAGGCCGGGCGAGGGUGCGAUUCCGUCGUUCUCGACGUCUCGCCGUUGUCGGACGCGCUUUCGAGGUGGGUUUAUCAUCGGAUUUCUACUCCUAUAGCCUUGUUAGUCAACAUGUAUAGUUAGGAUAUCUGCGUUGGUACUGUUUAGCUCAGAUUCAUGUUUAUGCAUUGUUCUAGGCCUAUAUAUUGAAUUGGGAGCAUGUUACUGUUUGUUAUUACUUAUACAUGUUGGACUUGGAUAAAACAUAGGAGAAAACCAGUGUUCGGAACCUGUCAUAUGUUAAACUAUCUGAUUUAGCCUUAGGGGCCGUUGUACUUUUAUACUGUUGCAGUAUCCUCAUAGUGAGUAUUCCAGGUAGUUCAGAUUUCAGUUAUGCUCGUGCUGGGAUGCCGAGCCGAUUUUUACAGUAGUGUUUACAGUGUUCCGGACUAGUGGGUGCCGUAGUGGUUGACGGCGGACCCGGAAUUGAUUGUUUCGGUAUCAGAUUGUGCCGAGAGCAUGUGACCAGUGGUUGGUAGUACUGUUAGACCUGUUUUUUGACUUUAGCCUGUGAGAGCCUGAUUGAGCUCGACAGAGAUACGCUUGCAUACUCGGGUGGGUCGCGCCCACGAGUGCCGCUCCGGAGUCUGGCUCUGUGCUUUUGCGUUGAUGUCGCUGAUUAGUUGCUAUCCACGGACUGUUUAGCGUGGAGGUAGCGCGGCUUAGACAGGCGGGACGGGUGCGUACACAGUCCCUAUUGAGAUUGGGUCAGAAUUGAUAAUAAACACAGUUGAAUAGUGUAGUGGCAUGUAGCUGUAAAUUUCUUUCGAGCUUUACUUACCAGUUUCGUUUCCUACUGUAGUCUUAGUGGGUGAGUCGAUGAUUUUGAGGCCGGUACCCACUGAGGACUACUUAUUUUUAUAGUAGUUCUCACGCCUAGUUGUUACUUUGUGUUUUGCAGAGCCUGCUGUUCCGGCUACUGCAUCUUCCGAGGCUGAUCGAGGCAAGGGCGUCGCGAGUUAGAGCCCUACCCGACGAGUUGCUGAGAUAGAGGAUCCACCUCUGCAGGUAGUUCUGGUUUAUUUUGUUAAGUUCAUGUACAUACAGUUGUUAUAACUCGCUGGAGCGAGUACUUUUGUAUAGCGUUUUGUUGUAUGUAUGUGAAACUUGUUUUAUUCUACCUGUUUGGGUUUCUUUACAGCUCUAUACUACUGGUUGUAGUAUUGUAUAUUUUCAGUUACCGAUACGCUUCGUAUACAGGGAAAAUUCUUUGUAUACGGCGGAUUUGUCGACGUGCCCGGAAAAUUGUGUAAUCCGGGGCGUGACAACAAAUGUAAAUGUAAUAUGGAUAUGACGAAUGUUUGUAAUAGUGUAGUAUUAUGUUUAUGAUGCCCUUCUUAUACAAUAUGUAUAUGAAUUCUAUUCCUAAUUGAAUUAUAUUGAUUGUGACGUCUUGGGCGGACAGAAAAAAUUUUGUUUGUUCCGCGAUCUGUCUGCGUGCCCGAACUAACCAAAGUGGCGAUCUCGGGGCGUGACAGAUAAGGUGAUAUCACUAUCUGGGAUCUUACAAUCUCCCUUCCUUUAAGUCCUGAUGUCCUCGUCAGACUCAGACUAACAAGUACCGGGCGAUGUGAGACUCGUCUAGCUAGCCAUAACUGACUUUGUGUGGUAGCCGCGCUCCACCCAUAAUAGUCAACAGUAUGAGAGUCUCGCUAUCUCCACUGUAUAAUCCUGGCUUAGCUGAGACUUAUCUCAUACUUCCGGCUUGUAAUUGACUUGAUACCAACUGUGAUGCCCUAACUUCCCAGAAGGUCACCCAUUCAAGAACUACUCCCGUCCUACCACGCUUAACUCUCUUAACCUCUUGGGUCUAACCACCACCCAAAAUGUUUAAGCUGGGUUAAAAGUUUAGUCAUAUUAUAUUUUAUAUAUAGAACUAUCUGGGUCUCACAAAAGUAUAGUAGUACUAGCCUUGAAAAAUAAUAGAAAAUUUUAUAAAGUGAUUGGAUUGAAAUAUAAAUCAAGGUUUAGUGAUUUAAUUGAAUUAUAUUAAAGUUCUGUGAUCGGAAUAAAAUUUCACCAAAAGAUAAAGCACAAACAAUGUAAUUACGAGUAUUUUAAAAACUAGGUGGAAAAGCAAACCGAAAAUUUUAUUUGGGCAAGGAUCACUAAUUUUAUUUAGGUCAAAUUAGGUAGAUACAAGUUUUUUUUUUCUUCAAAUUUUAUUUCUCAUAAUAGAAAAAAAAUAGCAAAAACCUAUAAUAAGAUAAAAUAAAUAAUUACAUUAACCUAAAAAAAAAAAAAGAAUCCGACCGGUUGCUCAGAAUCGGACUGAUUUAUCGGUUGACUAAUUGAACUGUUUGGUUUGAAUGGUACAAUCUGGGUUUUAAAACAUUAGUAAUUUUUUUCAUGUAAAAUAGUUUACUUGUGUGAAUAUCAUCUAUUACUAUAUAGUAAAGUGCGUGAAAUAUUCUCCUUUUAUUGGCAUGUGUACCGCUUAUAUGCUCGAUAUAUCCGGUGCAUUAUAUGUCUAUAAAAAAUAUUAGUUUAUAUAUAUANNNAUAAAAUUUACGGAUAUAUAAUUUUUUAUAUUUUAAAUGUUUAUAUAUAUAACCAUAAAAUAAAUUUAAUUAAUUAAAUUUUAUUUCACAAUUUUAUUUUUGAUAUUUCUAUCAUACAAAUUUUUUACACUAUUCAAUAGUGAGGAGCUAUUAUUUAUGGACACGUGUCCAUUCCAUGGGUGCACUUGAUGCACCAUGGAUCCAAUAAGAAAAAUAUAAUUUUAUUUUAGUAAAUAUACAUUAAAUUUAGGAAUAUUCACAUAUAAAUAUUUUAAAUAUUAUUAACUAAAUUGAGUUAACUAAUAUUUAAUUUUGACAUCUCUAUUGUACAAAUUUACUUAUAUACAUGAGAUAUAUAUACACACUAGCUGCAGUCAAUUACUAUAUAUUAAAAGGCGUGGAGCACCCUUCAUUUGUUGACGCGUGCCCCACCCGUAUAUUUGGUGCACCAAGUACAACGUAAUCCUAUAAAAAAUAUUAUUUUAUUUUAAUAUAUAUAGAUCUAAAUUCUAUACUUUAUAAUAUAUAGGCAUUUAAAAUACCAUAAAAUAAAUUUAAUUGAUUAAAUUUUAUUUUCAAAUUUGUAUUGCACAAAUUUAAACCGUGUUUAUGAAAUGUGCACAUACACCAUGUGCAUGCAAUAAUUUUCAAUGGAAAGGAGCCAUUGUUUGUGGACAUGUGUCCAUUCUACCGAUGCAUUUGGUGCACUAUGGACCCAAUAGGAAAAAUAAAAUUUUAUUUUAGUGAAUAUGUCUAAAAUUUAUAAAUUUUAAUAUAUAAAUAUUUUAAAUAUUCUAAAAUAAAUUGAAUUAACUAAAAUUUAGUUUUCACAUCUCCAUUGUAUAAAUUUAUUAGUAUGUAUGAGAUAUAUGUAUAUAAACUAGGUAUGGUCAAUGAGUUCGACUAAAUGUCUCAUUAACCUUUAACUGUUUUGAUUUGAGCUAAUAACAGUUUCAUUGCCUACCAACUAAUAAACCAAUUGGAGUACUCUCCUAUUUUUUGUCAAUUAUCUAUUGUAAGUUCUAAUUUUAGAAAAAUUAUAUCUAAUUUCUUCAACAGUUUUAUACUUUUGAGAAUUUUUUUUUUUUACAGAAUAAGUAAGAGUAAUUUGAUCAUUUCGCCCUCUCCAUUAACGCCGUCGUAAUCCCUUGAAAAUAUUUCUGAAAUGUUGGUGGUAAAUAUAAGUUUUUGGAAGUUCGAGGUGGCAAGUGAAAAAUUCGGUAUUUAUAGGAAGGUUUUCUGCACUUUAGCCAAAAAUUCAUUUAAAAUUUUUUUGCAUGCAUUUUCAAAUAUGGCUAUAGGUGAGGGGUCUCCAUGCACUUUGGUUUGGUUUGGAUUAUACACAUUCUUACCAUUUUUGUAUGCAUGUAUACAUAUUACAUUACUUCUUAUCACAAUACUCAAUUUUUUUUUGUGUUAAUUAAACUUUUUGGGCAUGUAAUAAUAUGCAUAAUAAUAACUCACUUUUGAAUCCAAAAUCAUAAAUUAAGUCAUAAGAAAUCUAAGUUACAAAAAUAAGAAUGUCGAAAUCGAUCGGCCGAAUCGAUCCAACCCGAGUUCUUUCGGUUUAAUUCGGUUCGGUUUGAGAAUAAAUUGGCUCGAUUCAAUUUUGGUUUGAAACUUCUUGCGUACUGAACUAGACGCGGAAUCGAAAACACACGUAGAGCGCGUUUGGUUCGCCCAUUUUUUCACCCUGGAAUGGAAAUCGGACUGGACGAAUACGUUAAUUUGUCCGUGUUUGGUACGCGGCAUUUCCAUUCCAAUUUCGACACUGAUUCGCCUAAAAUCUUUUUCCAACCACUUGAGAUACUAGAGAUGCCCUAAGGCUAGGCAUUGGGAGCAUGGAAUUGGAGAAAUUGAACCCUUGCUACUUAGUUUUCCUGAUUAGAUUCCGGAACCACCUAAGCAUGUUCCGAAACUCGACACUUUAGGAUGAAACUUCCUUUCUUUUCUCUCUUUUCUUUUCUUAUCAAUAUUUUAUAUUCUGCUUUUGAAACUCUGGGAAUUACAUGUGGCAUGGGGUCGUGCCAAAAACUUCCUGGCAAAGUAUGCCAUGGUGCUUGCCGUGACCUACUGUGUCGUAUCGAGCCGUGCUAAACUGUGUCGGUCACAAAAAUACCUAUGUGCUAACACACUGUGGCAUUAUAUAUAUACUAGUGUAGUAACCCGCGCGAUGCGGCGGAUAAAUAAUAAAAGAAAAAAUAAAAAAUAUUGAAGAGGAAGUAGAAAAGAGUUUGGAAAAUAAAAUUUCAAGUGUGUUUUAUUUUUUGGAUAGAAAAAUGUAUGAAUUGAGCUAACCAAUAUGAUCAUUGAAAAUCGAUAAAUGCCUAGAAUCAUUAUUAAAAAAAACUUACAAAAGGUCAUAUGAAGAUAGAGAUGAUAAUGUUGCGAUGAUGACGACAAUGGUGAUAAAAAUCUCAUAAAAAUUUGCAGGAUUUUGCACUCUUUUGGAUAUGGAAUGAUCAGAAGUUGCGGAUCAGAACUACCACAUAAAUUAUAAAAUCAAAACUAACAUCUAAAUUAAUCAAAAUAAUGCACAUAAAUCAAAUCCUUGAUUGAUGCAACCACUAUAUAAAAAAUAAUGUAAAUAAAUUAAUUCUAAAUUGAUACGUAGUAAGAAUUUGCGAUUAAAAUAAAGAAAAGAAAAAUUAGGUUUAGAAUUUUCGUUUCCCAAACCUACCCCUAAAUCCGAAGGCUUGGAGGACUCCCUUGCUCUUCUCCAAUCUCUAUAUUUGAAUAUAGUAACUAUUUAUCUUCUCCUCUUUUAAUUUUGCAUGUUAGAAAUUAUUUGAGGAAGAGUAAAUGGCAAAUAUUGAAGAGAAAAAACUAAACGUAUAUAUUAAAAAGCACAUUAAUUAUAGGUUAUUGAAUAGAGAGGAGGGGAGGGGAAAAGCCAAAUUAAAAAUCAAUUCAAAAAAUAGGAUUAGUGAGGAUGGAGGAAAGCUUGUCAUGUGGCAAAAUUAUUGGGAAUUCAUAUAGGUUAAUAGAUAUAUAUAUAUAUAGAGAGAGAGAGAGAGAGAGAGAGAGAGAGAGAGAGAGAGAGAGAGAGUGUGUGUCCGGCUAGGAUACUAUUGCUAGUACCAAGGAUUUGGUGCUAUCGAGUUUUCCACCGUUAGAUUUAAUCCUUUAAUUAUUUUUACUCGUUAGAUUAUACUAUUCAACCAACCAUUCAUUCAACUCUAGGAGGCCCAUAUCAUCCUAACACCACAUUUCUCAAUCAAGGGCUAAAAAACUAUAGUGCCAAUAGCUUUGGUGCCCUAUUGUAGUAUUCCCUAGUUCUUAUUAGUAUAUAUAAUAUAUAUAUAUGAUUAGAUAUAUAUAUAUAGCAGCAUUAGGCUCGGUUAUUUACGUGCACGGAGGCCUUCGUCUGCUACCAAGGUGUUUUUCAAUGGAUGUGGAUUCCAAUCGAUGAUCGGCUUUGAUUAGAUUUGAUCUACACUGUAAAAGUAUUUGAAACUUAAAAUUUCAUAAAAUAUUUUUCGUAUACAUUGAUAUAUCAAACGAAUAGUCAUAAAAUAAUGAACGGUUGAAAAUACAAAAUUCAUAAAAUGAAUGAUAGAAACUGAAUUUAAGAUUAGAGGUAUGAUUUUUCUCCCCCCCCCCCCCCCUCUAAAUGAGUAAAAAAAUUUCGUCUAUAAAAAUUCUUCUAUUUGAAAUUGUCUUAUACACCGUUAAAUUCACUAAUGCGCGAUCACUAUUCUACCAUUAAAAUGCAAUGGGUAGAUUUUUUGAUCACUACAAUGAGUGUCGAAAAUUAUAUAAAUUGUAAUUUUCAAAUACUUUUUAAAGUGGUAGAAUCAAGUCUAACGCAGCGAUCGUCGCAUUUAGCCCGCAUCAUCCAAAAACAACUUGGUAGCACGGAGGCUUCCGGAGGCACGAUGGCUAUUAUAUGGUCGGAUCGAGAUAUAUAUAUAUAUAUUCUCUCUCUCUCUCUCUCUCUCUAUAUAUAUAUAUAUAUAUAUAUAUAUAUAUAUUCUUUGACACCAAUAUAUACAAAUUACUUAUUACAGAUAUUUGUCAAAUCUUUUGUACUUUGUUGAGAUAACUACUUGCUAAUUUUAUAGAAAAAAAAUUUUGAGCCAUGCCAUUGGCUCGAGAGUCUUAUCAUGUGGAUAUAUGUCUGCACACUACGGCACAGUGGGCACGGCCUGUGUCAAUAAGCACUUAAAAUCCUUGGUAAUCAAGUGUGAAGAGUAUCUGCAUGUGGAUAGAAGAACCUAAGCCUCCAUGUCACAAAAAAUUACUAAAUUAUUUUUUUUUUCUAAUUAAAUCAUUAAGUUUUCUAUCAAUCUAAUUAUAUGUUAUUAAAAUGAAUAUGAUCAUUUGAUGCAUUAAAAGGCCUUUCAUCUAAGUUGUGACUAUUUAAACAAAAUCAAUUACCAUCUUCCUAGUCAUCCCUUAUUAACAAUUUAAGUCACAUUGGUACGUAACGGACACAAAGUUAUCCGGUAAGUUCAGUGCGAUUUAAAGUGGUGCUAGUUUCAGGCUGCGUUUGGUUAGAGAACUAAAUUUUGGAGAAUAACUUUUGUUGUUCCCGAGAAUAAAAAAUAUUCCGGUAUAAGCUAGAACAAGUUGUAAAUUACUACGUUUGGAUGUUGUUUGUUUGUUUAUUCCUAGAGAAUAUUCUUGAUAGUGUUUGGAUAUUUAUGUUGGAAUAAGGUGUUGGAAAGAUAAAAAUUAAAUAAAAUGACUGAUUUGCCGUUGAAUGUAAUAAUCAAAUAUAAUUUAAUAAAUUAAGUAUUAAAAUAAAUUAAUUUACAAAUUAAGUAUAUUUGUAUAUUAUUUUGAAAAUAUUAAUUUAGUAGUAUUCAAUUUAAGUAUUUAUUUAUUUUUUUUUGAAACUAAUUUAAAGUAUAAAUAUUUAAAAUGGAACAGCACUUAUUAAAUUAAAUUAAUUAUUCAAUUGAUUUUCUUUAAUUUACUAAAUUAAAUAUUAAUAAGUCAAAAUAGUGUGGCUCUUAUAAAUAAAAAAAAAUUCAAAAAAAAGUCUAAACACAUCCUGAUGAAGGGUUAAAGGGCAAAAUGGUAAAGAAACAUAUCCCCCCAAGUUGUUCCCCCCAAUUCUCCUAUCUGGGGAGAACAAGCUUAACGGGUUGUUCCCGGAACAACCUGUUAAGCCCGAAACAAGGGCCUUAUUCCAUUUUGCAUUGUGUUUGGGGGGAUAAAGAGGGAUAUCCCGCCUUGUUCUGGAAUAUCCCUCCAACUAAUCGCAGUUUUCAGAGUUUCGUGCUCAACUGUUUUAUUCAGUAUAAGAAUUUCUGUUUCGUAGCCAAAACUGGUUUCAGAGGCAAACUUUUGACGGUUAAAUUAGGAUUUAAGUCUUAAUUCUAAUCCCAUCCCAAUCAAACUUAAUUUGAAAUAUUCUAUUAUCUUAUAAUAAAUCCCAAAUUAACUCGAUCUAUAUUUUAAUAUUUACAAACAAAAUAUAGUCUAAUCACAAUUCUAUACAAUCUUGGACUCUUGUUGUAGAAACCUGUUCGAUCCCUUUUUACGCCUAAGUAUUUUCUUAAAUUAUUAUUUUGACAUUACUCCUUUAAAAUAAAGUUCUAUUUGAGUCAUCUAUGAGUCCAAAUUGACCCAAGCAUAUAUCACUCAUCGUAAUAGUUUGGUGCUAUUAAUAGUACCAAAAGCCCCCUCAUAGUUUCAAAAUCUAAAGAAUUUCUAUUUUUUGAUCUUCUCGUCAUCGUAGAUUAAAGAAAUUCGAGAUAAAUUAUUUGACGGUGCAAAUUAAACAUGCUCUUCGAGUGCUCCUGUUUAGGAGUCAAAUUGUUUGGGGCAUUGAUCUCUUGAUCAGCUCAAUAUCUAAUAGACUAUAUUUGGGAUUGUUAAGUGCUUCAAAUACUAUUCUUAAUAAUAGGUUUUACUUGGGAUUAAUGCCUAUCUAUUUAUGUAUAUAUUCCAUCGUUAUCCAGAGUCAAUCACUUGCGUUAAGAAAAUUCAUAUAAAUAAAAAAGCUCCCUUGCAUUAAUCACUAGUAAGAAUACCAAAUCAGGACCGACCGUCCCUAGAGUAAGUGGCAAAGGGCUUGGUGGUUGGUAUCCGAGACCCAAGUUCGAAUCCUAGUUGAUUCACAUUUCCAGCUAAAUUUAUUUUUAAAUGAAAUAAACGAAGCGGGUAUAUAUUAACUCAAUAUUAUGAAAAUCUUCAUAUUGGGGGAAACCAUGAAGAUCUAAAAAUCGGUAACCUAGAUAGGGAACUAAUGAUUAUCAGAAGCCUAGUUUGUGAUAAGGUGGAUGGUAGUGGAUGGUAGUGGAUGGUAGUAGUAAGGUUGGAAUGUAAAGAGGUAGGUUCUUAAUUUUUGAGUCUUCGUGGUUGGAGAACCACGAAAACUCUCAUAAGAUCGAGUUGAGAUAUAUAUAUAUACUCAACCUGACCCGAUGAUAAUCAUCGUUUUAGAAUAACAACGAUAGUCAAAAAAUCGGAAACCUAGUUGAGAAAAGUAAUAAAGAUUGGUAACCUAAUUUAUGAUAUUGGGUCACCCCUGGUGAGUUGGGAUCCCCCUGGAGAGUUGAGAUUGGCUGAUUAUAGUAGGACUGGGAUGUUAAAAAGUAGGUUAUCAAUUUUUGAACUAUCGUUUUUCUCGCAAAAUGAUAAUUAUCAUAAGGUCAGAAUCUCUCUCUCUCUCUCUCUCUCUCUCUCUCUCUCUCUCUCUCUCUCUCUCUCUCUCUCUCUCAUGACCUACGGCCUCUUCCCCCCUACCGAUCGGGUCUUCUCGCAGCUUAAAGAUAAGGACUUUUAGCUCUCGAUCGCGUAAGCGGGUAGCCUGUGAAACUUGGUCUUCUAUUCUAAACGUUCAACUGCGACGCAUUGUCGUCCUAGAGAGUCGGUUCCAGCCUCUGUCUUCCCCUGGCCCCGAAAGAGUCGGUUCGCACCACUGCUAUCCCGGUAAAGUAGCCGCCCUAAACCGCUCAUAAAGGUUGUUCUAUUUUACGCACUAACGACCCGGAGUACUUAGAAAACACACCAGAGAGGUGAGCCGCUCGACGGAGUCUUUCUAUUUUCUAGUUCGUCGUUUGCUGAGCGUCCGCAAUGUUAAAUCUGCUUGGAAAACUUUUGAGGCGGAAACUUCUAGUGUUUUCAAAGCGUCUCUAACUGCGACGACGACGAUCCGUCGGUCAAUGAGAGUGGGAGAACNCCAAGUUGUUUUCAAUGAUGCGGCCUCCAAAUCGACAAUCGGCUCCGUUAGAUUUGAUUUACACUAUUAAAAGUAUUUGGAAACUAAAUUUCAUAAUUUUUCGACAUAAUUUGGCUAGUGAUCAAAAUGUCUCAAAAUUAACAAUUUUAAUGGUGGAUGUGAUGCGUUUGUGAAUUUAACGGUGUAAAACAAUUCAAAUCGGAUGAAAUUUUAUUAGAAAUUUUUUUUCAUUAUUUAGAGUAAGAUUAACACCUCUGAACUUAAAUUCAAGUCUUUUAUCAUCAUUUUUUAUGAGAUUUUUAUUUUUAACCGUUUAUUUUUAGACUACUUGUUUGAUAGGUAAAUGAUGUCGAAAAAUUAUAAAAUUUAGUUUUCUAAUACUUUCAAUAAUAUAGAUCAAGUUUAACGGAGCCGAUCGUCGAUUUGAAAGCUACAUCAUUAAAAAUAACUUGGUAGCACGGAGGCCUUCGUGUCACCAAUAGUAUACCAGCUUAGCUCUCUCUCUCUCUCUCUCUCUCUAUAUAUAUAUAUAUAUAUAUAUAUAUAUGCUGCAGUUUGAAAAACAACUAAAAAUUGGUGAUGAAUUAAUGGUGCAAUCAACCUUUUAAAAUAAAAAAUAAAAAAUGCACACAACUUACACGAACUACGAAGUCUACGAGUCAUUUUAUAUCGGUUAUGCAAUUUUUUAAAAUUUUAAUUUUACUAUUCGACCUUUAAUUUUUUUUUUAAUUUGAAUUUAGUCAAUGGCAUUUUGAUUUUAAAAUUUAGAUGUUUUUGCUUAUCUUUACAGAUUUAGAUUGUAUAUUUCAUAUAAGGCUAAAAUACAUAAAACCUCUAUGUUAAAACCCGAUUUUUUUUUUUUUUUUUUCACUUUCCCUUCCUGUCAUUUAAUAACCUAUACUUUACCUUCUUAUAAAAUGAAAAAUGUUCACUUCGCCCCCUACCGUUAGUAAUUCGUUAGGGUUCCGUUUAUAAUAUAUUAUUAUAUAUUUUUUAUCCCAAAAAUAUCCUCAGCCUUCUCUCCUGUGAAUAUGGUGAGAGGCAAAAUGGUGAAGGGCAAAAUGGUCAUUUUAUCAUCGCAGUUCACACCGUACCCCCUAUGAACAUUUUUUAUUUUACAAAGGAAAAAAGUGUAGGUUUUUAAAUGACAGGAGAAGAAAGUGAAAAAUCGAAUUUUGACGAGGGUGUUUUUUGUAAUUUAGCCUUCAUAUAAUUCUCGCAACUAUAAGUUUAUUAAAGUGAUUGGCACAAAUUUCGAAGUCGAAUACUAUUUGAUUGAUUUAAAUCAAACAAACUAAAAGGUUAGGACUCCAAGAAGAAGAAAAUAAGAAGAUAAAAAGCGGUGAGAACAACAAUAGAGUCAUUAAUCCACACAAAAGUUUACUUUUACUGCAAAACUCUGCAAAUUAAAGCAUUCCAUUGCCACACCCACCUGCUAGUGUAAAUGAUGUGUGUUAUUUUGGAGAAGAGUUCGCGGUGAUUCGUUUCCCGUAUGUUGUAUUAAAAUAAAAAGGGAAACUUCAAAAACUCCCCAUGUGGUUUCACUUUUUCUCACUUUAGUACCUUGUGAUUUAAAGUGUAUCAAGUUAGUACCAUGUGGUUUUAUUUUUGUAUCAAGUUAGUACUCUGUAAUUUUUAAACCACAGGAUACUAAAGUGAGAAAGUGUGAAACCACAGGGUACUAAAGUAAGAAAGUGCGAAACCACAUGGUACUAAAAUGAGAAAAAGUGAAACCACAUGGUACUAAACUUUGACCAUUCUAAAAUAGACAUCUCAACUCUUUUAUUUUUUAUUGACACCCUCAACUUCUUAUUUAUUUUUUUUUUUAAUUUUGUUUGGGAUUUUUUAUUUAAAGGGGGCUGUUCAUUCUUCAAAAAAAGCGUGGAAAACAUUUUUCAAAAAAAAAAACAGAAAACUCCUUUUUUUAAAAAAAUUUUCUGUCCGUUUGAUUCUGAAAAAAAAAGAGAUUUUUGGAAAUUUUUUAGAUUUUAUGUAAAAGUAAGAAAAAUGAAAACACUAUUUUUUUAUAAAAUUUGGAAAAAAAACCUUUUCAAAAAAGAGAUAUAUAUAUUUUUUACAACCAAACGAGCAUAAAAAAAAAAGAACUUUAAAAAGGUGUUUUUCCAUAAAAUUUUUUUCUCAAAAUACUCUUUUCCAUACUUUUCGAUAGAACCAAACAACUCCUAAUCAUAGUUAGUUAAUCCGGAUUCGGCAAAAAUUCGAUACGGGUAUAAUUCGGAUAAAAUUCGUCUUUUAAUUUUUUAAAUUCGUUAAAAAAUACGGCUAAAAAACAGAUUCAUCAUUAUUCGGAUACGUGAUUUAUUCGGAUAUUAUACGUUUACCAAUUAAAAAUUCGGGAUAAAAAAUUCGGCUAUUAAAUUAAAUUUUUUUCUCUCAAGAUUUAUACUAUUAGCAUAAAUAUUUAUAUCUUUUACAAAUAUAGGAAUAAAUAGCUACAAAAUUAAGAUAAUUAAGUAAAAAUUUGAAAAGAAAUUAUUAUUAUUAUUUUUUUGGUCUUAGGCGAGGUGUUUGGAAAGAUUUUUUUUUUUUUUUUUUUUGUAGUUUACUGUUUUGGGCCAGCCGGCCCAAGAGCGCAUGUGACUGCAGGAGCGCGUGCGGGAGCGCAGGCAGGCGCGGGCAGGCGCGUGCGCGAUCCGUUUUUUUUCGCCGAAUAAUUCGGCGAGCCGAAUAAUACGCGAACACGUAUUUUUACUCAAAAAAUCUCCUUUUUUUCGAAUUUUUGGGAAAAAUUCGAAAAUAGCCAUUUAAUUCGGGUUUUGAAAAAUUGGCGAAUAAUUCGCGAAUAAUUCGCGAAUUAACUAACUAUGCUCCUAAUGAGAAUAAUAUUUUUAUCAAAUUUAAUAAAUUUAUCGCUGAGUAGAAUAGCGUAUAUGUGAGGGGUUGCCUACUUUGUUUAUUUUAUUAGAAAUGAACUUAAUUAGAAACCUAAAUCAAUUAGGCUUCGAAUUAACUUGAAACAUUCGGUCCCAUCAGGCUUACAGUCUAAGUUUUCUCUCAGGUAAAUUAAAGGGAAAACUUUAAAAAUCCUCCCUGUGAUUUUGUAGUUUCUCACUUUGCCCCCCUGUGGUUUAAAAUGUAUCAAUUUGCCCUCCCGUGGUUUCUUUUUUCUCUUUUUCUUAUCGAUUUUAUUAUUAUUUUUUUCUUAAAUCAGUGAUAAAGUUAAAAUUAAAGGGUACUAAAGUGAAUAUUUGAUAAAUCUAAAUGGAUAUCUGAAGUUUUUUUGUAUAUAAUUUAAUAAAAUAUUAACGAAAAAGCUACCAAAAAGAUAAAAACGAAACCACAGGGGGGCAAAUUGAUACACUUUAAACCACAUGGUACUAAAGUAAGAAAUAAUGAAAUCACAGGGGAGUUUUUUGAAGUUUUUCCUAGAUUAAAUUCACGUCUUAACUCUAUCAAAAUAUCUAUACGAAUGCAGAUAUGGUCGAUAAUGUAGACUCAAAAUGGUCUAUUUCCAACUAUAUAUUUGGCUACUUUUGCCAUUUCAUAGCAAUCAAAGUUGUGAUAUUGUGUAGCCUUAUCAACUACGGAAACGCAAUUCAUUGCAAUCACCAAAACUUGCAAGGAAAUAUUAUGGAUAAAACAGUUCAUCUAUUAAUUUGGGCUAAACUAAAAUAAAUAUGUUAUUUAUUGUUAUAGUCAAAGUAUUAUUUACUUAUCAAAGAAUUCAACUUUUAGGGACCGUUUGGUUGCAUGUAGUUGCAACUGCAUUGCAGUUGUAACUACAUAUAAAUACAAAUUUCGUGUUUGGUUUGAUGUAUUUAACCCCAACUACUGCAGUAGAAACUGCAGGAGGAGGCCCAACUGCAGCAGUUCGAACUACACCUAAAUUGGCCGCAGUUCCAAAUAUAGUAGUUGGAGAGAGUAAUUUUAAAUAAAAGGUAUGCUUGUCUUCUUAAUAUUUUUUAAACAAAAAUUAUUUUUCUUUUUUACAUUGAAGGUAAUCUCACCAUCAUAUAAAUAAAAUAAUAAAAUUUUAGAAAUUACUUCUCAACUGCAUGCAACCAAACAAAUUAUUUAUACUUACAGCGCUUUCUACUACAUCCAACCAAAUAUGAUUCAUGUAAUUGUAACUGCUGUAUUUUCAACUGCACGUAUCUCUACCUACACUGUAUUUAUAAUUACAUCUAACCAAACGGCCCCUUAUUGUAGAAGCAAACACGUUGAUGUUAGGUGUCAUUGGAUAUGCAAUAUUCUUGAGAAAAAGUUGGCGUUUGAAAAAAAAUUCACACCGAUAAAAAUAUAUCGGAUAUGAUGAUAAAGGCUUUAUUCAAGAAGAAGCAUGAAAUGUGUAUAAGUAUGGCCAGGAGUUAGAGGUGGCAAUCCAGCUCGCUGGCCAGCUCGUGAGCCAGCUCCUGUUCGGCUCGUGUAAUAAACGAGUCGAACACGAGCUGAAUUUUUAAACGAGCCAAACAUGAGCCGAACCCAGCUCGCUCGUGUUCGGCUCGUUUACACCCCUACCAGGAGUUAGGUGCGAAAGUACGCUUGUUUAGUUAGGCCUAUUUUGAUGGGUUAUUUUGGAGUCAUUUAGAUUCAUGGACUAAAUACUCAAGCCUCCGUUUGGUUCGGGAGUAACGAAUAUUGGGAUAAAUUAUUUUAUCCCUGCGGUAACUUUUUAUUCAAGGAUAGUCAUAGAUAAAAGUAAAAUUGUCUUUAAUUACUUCGCAAUGCUGCUAUUUUUAUGAAUUAUUAAAAUUGCAUUUGGCUAAUAUUAUGAAAUAGUAGAGAAUGGUUAAAAAAAAAAAAGGUGAUCUUUGAAUUUGACAAAAUAUAAUUUUUUUUAAAAAAUUAUAGUAAAAUUAAUUUAUUAUAAUAUUUAAGUAUAAAUAAAUAUAUUAAUAUUAUGUAAUUAAUAGUUUUUAAAAUAAAAGGAAUAUAUCAGAUCUACAUAAUUUAUUUUCAUUCAAUUAAUAAUCCUAAUAAAGAUUAGAAAUAAACCUUGGAAAAAUACUAUUCUAACUUAAUAUUUAGGUGGAAUAGUUUAUUCCAAACUAAAUAACCAAAAAUAGUACGAUUUGAUCGGAAUAAAAGGCGCGCACACACACAAACAUGUUAAAUAUAAAUAUGGAUAUAAUAUUUAAAACAUUGUUAUAUGAUAAUUUAAACUUUUAUAAUUUACGAUUGUUUCACAUAAUUUUAUAUAAUAUCGAAGCAGAAUAUUCUAAGUUUGAGUCAGACUUGCAGCCUUAUUUAGUUUUCUCUUAUUUAAAUUAAGUUCAUGGCUUAACCGUAUCAAAAUAUUUUGAGUCCAAAUAUUUAUAAAAGUAUUGAAUAUAAGAACUAAAAUUAUUGAAUCUUUAAAUCAUUUGGAUCGGGAAUAAGCAGAAAUUGCUUAUUCCGCAUAUCGCGAUGAGUUGGUUACGAUAUAUUUUCCGUGGUCUCACCGGAUAAAGCCGAAGCAUAUCCCUAUAUGCUUUUUUCUCAACUCCAUUUUAUCUAAUAACGUUUGAUAGGCCUCAAUACCAAAAUAAAGCCUAAGAUAGAUAUAAUUUUAGGAAUAAGUAGAAACAAGAUUAGUUUUUCAUUUGCAUGAAAAUUGGGUUGUUUCUCGGAAUAAGUUAAAUAAUGUUUGGAUUGUUAGAUGAGAAUAUUGAGAAUGAAAGUAAUUAUAAUUUUAAAUUAAUAAUAUUUUAUCUAAUUAAUUAACAUCAUAAUAUUAAUUAAAAAUAAUUUAAUAAAAUAAAAAAUUUAUUAGCUAUGAAUAUUGUAUAAGAUAAUAAAAAAAAAUUAAUUAAUUAAUUAAUUAUAAAAUAUAACUUAAUUUUUAAUUAAUUAAUAAUUAUUUAAUUAAUUAGAUGAUUUGUUAAGAAAUUAAUUUAAUUUGCCAAAAUAUUAAUUAGUUGACCAAUAUAAACAUUAGUUAUUAGAUAAACAUAUUAAAUAAUUAGUUCUUGUAACCCAAUUAACCACAAAUAAGAAGAAAAAUAAUUCCAGGAGGAGGAUGGAAUAACUAUUCCACCCUUAUCCUUAAUAAAAAAAACUGUAAAUUUUUAAUCCCUAAAACAAUUUAAACACAAAAAAACAUUACCUCUGAAAGACCACUCCACCCAAAAAUAUAAAACAAGAGCAUCUUCUUUCUUUCUUUCUCUCUCUCUAUUAUUUAAAAAACAAUUAUCUUUGGGUGCUCUAUCUCUCUCUCUUUCUCUCUCUCUCUCUCAUAUAAAAAACAAAUUUUUUUUGGCCUUUGGGUCCUCUAUCUCUCUACUAUUUAACAUAGUUAGUUAAUUCGUAUUCGGCAAAAAUACGGUACAGAUAUAAUUCGGAUAAAAUUCGUUUUUUAAUUUUUAAAUUUAUUGAAAAAUACUGCUAAAAAAUGAAUUCGGUAAUUAUUCGGAUACGUGAUUUAUACGAGAAUUAUACGUUCACCAAUUAAAAAUUCGGGAUAAAAAAUUCGGUUAUAUAAUAAAUAUAUAAUAAUUAAUAUACUAUAUAUAUAUAUAUUAUUAUUAUAAUUUUUAUAUAUAGAUUAAAUAUAUUUAAAAUUGUAAUAAAUAUAUAUUAAUAAUAUAUAAAAGUUGGCUCGGGCUACUAUACUCUUAUGAGUAUAGAACCUCUUGUACUCAUAAAUUUUUAAUCGUUGAUUGAUGAGAUGUGUGGUUAGGAUAAUGGUGGUCCUCAUUUAGAUUGAUAGUGGUCCCCUAGGGUUGAGUGGGUAGUUGGUUGAAUAGUAUGAUCUAACGGGUGGAAAUGAUCAUGGAAUAAAUCUAAAGGCCGAAAAGUAUAGUAGCCGGACUCUAUAAAAGUUAUAUAUAAAAAGGAAUAAACGAAUAUUCCCUACGAACGCUUAUAAUCAGUUUGUUAAAAUAUCUCAAAUAAAAAUAAAUGGUUAUGAUUAAUCUGUUAAAAAAUAACAUUAUUAUUUAUCAAUAUAUCAAAUCUUACAAAUGGUUAUGGUUAAUUUGUUAAAAUAUAUUUCAAAUAAAAAUUAUCGGUGCUAACUUGAUACACUUUAAACCAGAGGGUACUAAUUGGAUACACUUUAAACCAUAUGAUACUAAAGUGAGAAAGUGCGAAACCACAGGGGGGUAUUUGAAGUUUUUCCUUAUAAUAAUGAUAACUGGGUUUAAAUAUUUUGGGCUAAUAAUUUAGCCUUAACGAAUUAUUAUUACUAGUAAAUCAGAUCGUAUAUUUGUUAAGCUAAUUUACCGGCCGGAAGUGUGAAGUAGGUCUCACAUCGCUUGAUAAUCCUGAUAAUCUUAGACUUUAUGUAGUACCCUUGUUUAUUUAUCUAUUUUUUUAAAAUUUUUUUUAGUCGGUUGGUGAUGCAUGGGGGUGGCUUUGGAUGCCACGUGCACCCCCCAUGCAUCCUUAUCUUGUGGCCUACAGAGGGAUAGUGGUGAUUUGUAAUUUCCCUCUCUCUCUAGUUGGAAGUGGAGAGCUCGUGGAGGCUAUAGUUGGAGAUUGGAGCGACGUCAACUUCGCGCCUGCGAGCCGUUGGAGCGUGCGUGCGUCGUGGUAGUGCCGUUGGAGGCCGGGCGAGGGUGCAUUUUCGUCGUUCUCGACGUCGCGCCGGUGCUUGGGUCGCUGUCGAGGUGGGUUACAUCGGUUUUUACUCCUAAGUUCAUAUUCGUCGGCAUGUAUAAUUUUCGACCUUUGGAUACUCUAUUCUAGCUCGAAUUCAUGGAUUAUAUUGUAGAUUGCAAAUCUGAAUUUGGAGCAUGUGGUAAUAAAUUAAGUAGGUUAUACAUGUUGGACUUGGAAAUUGAAUUAGGAGAAAACCUGCGAUUUGGACCUGUCACUUGUUUAAACUGCCUGAUUUAGCUCUAGGAGCCGUUAUUAAAUUGUACUGUCGCAGUAUCUUCGAGACGAGUACUCCAGGUAGUUUAGAAUAUAUCUACACUCGUGCUGGUUCGCCGAGGGGAUUUUACAGGGUCGUUCAGGCUGUUCCGGACUGUAGGGUGCCGUUGAGGUUGACGGUGGACCCGUAUCGCCUUUUUGGCGUCUGAUUGUGCCGAGGGCACGUUACUUGUUGGUUGUUAGACCAGUUAGAGUCGAUUUCUUGACUUUGGCUUUUCAGAGCCUGUUUGAGCUCGACAGAGAUACGCUGCAUACUCGGUUGGGUAGCGCCCACGAGUGCCACUCCGGAGUCAGGCUUUGUGCUUUCGCGUUGGUGUCGCUCAUGCCAGUUGGACUUGCUCUCCACGGACCAGUUAGUGUGGAUAGAGCCUGAUAGUCGCAACGGGGCAGGGACGGGUGUAUUCACAGUCCCGGGGACGGGUAUGCUUACAGUCCCGAUUGGAUUGAGUCAGAUUUGACAUUUACUACAGUUGGUUAGUGUAGAGCAUGAUAGUGUAGUGAUCGAUAGCGGUAGAGUUUACUUCCUGCUUUUCUGACUACUCUUGCUCCCUUCUGUAGACUUAGUGGGUGGACCGAUGUGGUUUUGGGCGGUACCCACUGAGGACUACUUGUUUUUACAGUAGUUCUCACGCCCAGUUGUU
rnacentral:lncRNA from 1 species